CGCUGCUAGAGCUCGCGAUCUCCUCUACGUGUUGGCCCUACCUGCACAAAGGACACUCUAGGUAGGUUCCCGAGGACACUAUAGGAUCGUGAGCUCUAACAUUGGUGAAGCUAGGUUGAUCAUGAACUUCCGAAGUAACAAAAUAACCAAAAUAAUCAAUUCUCUAGAGAUUGCUUUUGUUUCUUUUUAUUUCCCUUCCAUAGGGAUUUAAGAGAAUGUAAUAUGAAUAUGCACAAUUUUUAAUCAAUUCAAUCCAUGUUUAAAAAAUAAAAAUAUUCGAGAAGUACUAUUCUGAAGGAAAAUUUCUCGAAACAACUUUCAAUCAUGUUAGUAAACGUGUUUUCAGUAGUAUUUAAAAAAAAUAAAUGAAUCAAAUACAGUUUCAGUGCUGAAUUUGAGCUCAUCUUCUGUCCUGUGUCUUGGAUUAGCGCAAACCGUUCUCCACUGUGGCCGACUUCCAAAUUAUUCGAUACUCGUAAUGCAAAUCAAAAUUAGAUUAAAAAAAUGAAGCUUACAACAUUAUGUUUGUGUUGCUCAAUCAUUGAUGGAGGCUGGAGCCUUGUGUUUAGGUCUUCAAAGGGCAGUUGAGUUCUUCGAAUGAAGAUGAAGAUUGUCAUGGACUGAGAUGCCCAUUUGAACAUGGGGUUUGGCGUUUUACGCUUUCUAAUAGAUUAAUUUUGUGGGUCAUCGUUGGGUUCUGUUGUGAAUUCCAUUCGAAGGAUGGGGUGGGUGCAAGGGCUUUCACACAACGACGUCGUUGUGGUUUCUCCGUUUCUGGCAAGGACAUUGAAAUGAAAGGUUUCAGGGGUUUCAGCAGACGAGGUGUUUUCUGGUGGCAGAUGAAUCUUUUAUGAGGUAAUCAUAAGCUGAUAAUAUUUAUAGUAAGUGGGUCUUAAGUUUUUUGCUAAUUCAAUCUUUAUGCGCUAUGCUGUUGGGUUGGUCUUAUUGCAGUUGAAGUACUCUGCUUACUUUAUAUUUCUUUAUGCGCUAUGUUUAGGGCAAAUGUUUUCUUCUGUUCAUUGCAUAUUUGAGUGUUGGAGCUAGUCUGGUUAAGAUCCCAUAAAGAAUAUUUUGUAGAGAACUUGAAAGUGUAGGGUUAAAAAAAAACUGGAUUAAUAUGUGGUAUGCCAUGUUUAUCAGGUAUAGUAUGGCUUAAACUGUUAUGAUCAGUCAAUUUUUGGAACCACUGAUUGGGUAAUUAGUAUCAUAUGAUGGAGUUGAUAACUGUGAAGGGCAGGGAUAGAUUUACCACUUUUUCAAUCUAAAGGGUUUACGCUCUAGUUUUCAACAGAAUUUAAGUGUGCGAGUCAGUUUCUAACCCCAACCAGAUUGUUGUUUGGUUUUAAAAUGUACAUUCAUGGAGAGGCCACAGAUGCUUUCUUACAUUUUCAAACAGUUCUGGACAAGUGGGUCAAUAAACAUCAUAUCAAGACUCAGUUGAUCCAUAUAUCUAAAAUGUUCCGAAUUAGAAAUUUCCAUGAAAGAAAAAUGAUCCCAACUUUUCAAUUCAUAAAUUAAAUAAAAUCAGGCACAAUAAUUGAGCUAAUAUGUCUCACAAGUGCAGCAGAAAAGCUUUAAUGCUUAUGCAAUGUUGUCUAGGCUUCUCUCAUGUUUAAACAAUCUGUUAGGAUUUUAUCUACAUUAACCUAAGGUAAUCAUCCUAGAGGGGAGUUGGGAGGAGGGUGGGGGGUCGUUUAAUAGGGUGAUGGUCUCUUUUUUAGAAAGAAUUAAACUAUUUGAAUGCAAGAAACAAUUAUAUGCAGAUAUAUAAUAAAUAUAAUGAAAAAACAAUUACAUAUAAAAUAAAAAGUAAGGUUCAUGAAGACACCUUUUCUUUGAACUGGUCCUUCCAAGUCAUUGAAAGAAAAAAAUCAAGAUCUUCAAAUACAUCCUCUCUAAAUCUUCCGGGAUUGGGCCGGAGAGGCUAUUAGAAGAAAGAUCUAAUCUCUCCAGUGCCAAUAAUUUGCCCACUGAAUUAGUUAUUAAACCCCCUAAUUUAUUUCUUGCUACAUUGAGAUCAUGCAAACUUAAGUGACCGCCAAUUAUUGCUGGCAUACUUCUUGACAAUUGGUUGUCAGAAGCAUCCAGGGUGCCUUGAUUUUCCAAACUGCCAACUUUGAUGGGCAAAGAACCAUUUAGAGCCUUUUGUGCCAAUCACAACUCCAGUAAACUGGCGGUUAUUUACUUGUACUUUUUGGCUGGUUUGGCGGUGAGUGUAUAGGUAUUGUAUAUCUUGAGUCGCUCUUUUGACGCCUCUUUUCACAAGAUCUUUUCUUUACCUAUCAAAAAAACAGCUCCAGUAAACUGGGGCAGGAAAAUCUCCUUGGGUAUGCUGCCACUGAGCUUGUUAUGGGCUUGACCCAAUGUCCUUAGACUCUGGCACUCCCCAAUAUUUUGAGGAAAGAAAUGGUUAUAUCCCAUCCUAAGCUCAAGUAAUCACAUAAGUUUGCCAAAGGUAUCUGGAAUUUCUCCAGAUAAAGUGUUUUCAUUUGCUAAAAUUUUCUGUAGUGUCAGAGAAAGGUUUCCUAUAGAAGUUGAUAUCUUACCUGCAAAGUCAUUCUGCUGUAUGUCCAAGGCCUGGGGAUUUUCAAAUUUGAAAGCCCUCGGGGAAUGCUACCAGUCAGGAAAUUGUAGCCAAUGCAAAGUUCUUGGAGAUGCAUAGAAAGAUUCACAAUUGAACUUGGAGGUUUCCCUGUCAGAUGGUUGGAAUUAAUAGAUAGAACCUCCAAUGGGGUAAAGUUUGUUAGGAAAUUAAUUACCUGAAGAUUUAGCUAGGUGGUAGGAGAAAGAUUGUUCCAUCCCAGAUUUAGGAUUCUAAGAUUAUUUAUGUUACCAAGUAGAGAAGAGAAGUCACGGAUUCGUAUUUGAGAAGCAUUGGAUAGUGAAAUGGGUAUGAGUCCUUUCAUCAUGUAAUAUCUGAUAAGAAGAGUUCCCUCAGAUUAGGUAGAACAAGGCCAAUAUCAGCGGGUAGUUUUUCAACCUGCAUGCUUUGUUUUUCACAUCAAAGAGGAAAUGUUGUAGAUGAAGUGAGGGAACUCACCAUCUAAGAAAUUCUCUAAGAGCUGAAGUUGCUGAAGAUUACGGAGAUGACCCUUCUCAUUUGGAAUAUUACCCAAGAAUUGUUUUCUCACUAGUCUCAAAACAGCAAGAGAGGUGAGAUUUCUAAAUGUAGGAGGUAUUGCACCUAUAAGAUUAGUCACUGCAGCAUGUUAAGAUCUAGCUAUACCAACAUAAGGUAAUCACCUUGGAGAGGGGGAAAGUAAAUAGGUGAUGAUCACUUUUUACAAAUUUAAACUUAGAGAAUGCAAGUAACAAUAUAGUAAUAAUAUAAUAAAAAAAUAAAGAACAAUAAUUAAAGAGAUUAGGGAAGAGAGAUUGAAAACUCCAAUUUAUAGUGGUUUGGCCUAAUCCUGGCCUACAUCUGCUCUCCUCUGGCUUCAAUCAAGAUUGGGGUACCACCAUACCAAGGCUUCCAAAUCAAGCCUUUAAGCUUUACACUCAUAUUAAAAGGCUCCAAUGGGCACUUACAAUUUUCUUCAAAAGAUGUCUCACUCUUAAAUUCCCCAAGUGAUACCCCAUACUUAACAAACCCCUAAGUGAUACCUCACACUUAGGUUUUUCCUUCGAGUGAUACCCCAUACCUGAGCUCAUCUCACAAGGUUUACAAGAAAUGAAUUUUUCAAUACAAAUUUCUAGUUUACAAAUUUUUGCUUAAGGAUGCAAAGAAAACUAGAAUUGAUUAGGUGCACUAAGAAUGAAAUAUAAGUUUAAGCCCAAUGCUCUCAAAAAUAUUUUUGUAAGGCUCAAAAGUGUUGAACUAUUAAUUUUCCUAAAAGUUAAAGCUUAUGGGAUUUAGGCUCACAAGAUAUAUCAUGUACUCUAACACCCUCCCUUACGUGUAACCUCUAUUUUUGGGCUUUCACUUAGGCUUAAUAAAUUAGGUAAAUAAACAUGCAUUGGUGGUUCAAACACUUGACCCCCCUCUAAACAGGGCUUUGAUACCAUUUUGAAGUUUGAAUUACCAAUUUUCCUAAAAGCUUAAACUUGUAGGAUUUGGGCUCGCAAUGUAUAUUAUGCGCUCUAACAAAAGGUGAUUAAAUAAUGGUUUAGAAGUAUUCUAUCAUUUAUAAAUGAAGUAUAGUGCCUUUAUAUAGGAGCUAAAAGGUUAAACUAGCCGUUAGAAAUAAGUCUCCCAGAACUAGAUGUCCUCAUGGGCAUCCACAUGCUAGCCGUUGGAGCACUUAAUGAGGUGCAAAGAGCCAUUGGAGCAUUUAAUGAGGUGUAGAGAGCUGUUGGAGGCAAAAAAGUAGAUGUGGAUGUCCACUUGGUCAUCCACAUUGCCAAGCGGAUGACCGCAUGGCUGUCCACAUGACUUCUAGUAGCUAAAACUACCAAAAUAGAGCAAGUGGAUGACCACCUGAAUGUCCAAAUGACAACUGGAUGAUCGCUUGGUUAUUUGCAUGUGCUCUAAUCCAAUAUUUUUCGAAGUUUAUGCAUGUUUUGAGGCCAAGACCACCUUUAACUAGCCCAUAUGAAUGUAAAUCACCUUUUAACAAAGUCUUAAUCAAUAUUUUGAGAUAUUUUCAAGGUUUGAGAGCAUCGUGGUUAAGUCAAAAAUGUUUUUAAGAAACCUUAAAAGAUUUUCAUGUAUAGCUUGAGGCCCAUAUGAAUGUACAUACUCAAAAUGAUUUUUAUCCAAAUUAUAAAACUAUUAAACCAAUUUAAAACUCCUGGAUAAUGUUUUGGUGCUUAACAAAAAUCUGUAAUCUUAACUUAGUGCACCCAUCAUCUUACAUAAGGUAUUCUAAUGAUAAACUUGAUAAACCUUUUCUUCAUUCUUUUUGAAUUCCUCUUUUGCUCCAUGUAUCUUUUUCUUGAUGGUUCUAAGGAGAUCUUCUUGUGUAUCACACUUAAACAUAAUCAUUAGAUCCAAACCUUGUUUUGUUAUCAUUAAAACACGAGGUUAACUAAACCUUGGUCUAACACAACAUUGAGAACUUUUGAGUCUUGACAAAUGGCCAAGCUUAAAAGAAAGCUUUUUAGUAGUGGCUGUACUGUAAAUGAAUCUCCUCAAGGUUAUAAUAAGUUAAUAACUAGAGAGACUGACUGGAAUUGUACCAUUAAUGGAAUUUUGUGCAAGGUUAAUAUGCUGAACAAGUGAGGGCUGGCCAAACUCCAGGAGAAUUGGCCAUAAAAUGAGUUCUUGGAAAGAUUUGAGUAAUUGCAGGAAGGUGAGGUUGGAGAGUUGAGGGGAUAUGAUACCAGAGAGCUGAAGUACAGCAAACCAAGGAAAGCGAACCAAGCAAAAUGAGUAGAGUGUGAUGAAUUUAGGUUCCAGCCAUGAGUUCCUUAAUUGGUGCAAGUGACACCAUGCCAAGUACUGUGAGAUGAAUUUAGGUUCCAGACUGACAGAGCAGCAUGAGGGUCAGAGGCUUUGGAUUUCAAAGAUGGAAGUGCAUGUAUCGGUGUUAGCAACAAGAGCUCCUGGCUUGUUCAUGCUGCAAUCUAGAAUAAUUUGAAGCUUGAGGAGGAUGAGCCAUGAAAUCUGGAGAUGCUCUUUCAUUUUUGAAAUGAGGAUCAUGGACUGCAGGGCUUGCCCUAGAUGUAUGGCUGUCAGCAGUUUAUGCACAUAGUUAUCACCCUAAGUUAAGGCUUGAAGAUGAUUUAAAGAAAUCAAAACAAUUCAAUUUUCCAUUCUUCUGCAUUACUCAAAUAAAAAUAUAAGGGUUAUAUCUUCCUGUUAUAAAUUUUGCAAUACUUCCAUGACAUUAUUAAUAUUUUGGAGACUGUUAAUUUCUCUCCUUGUUUUAGUGAAAUUCGUGAAAUGUCCUUGAUACAUUGUGGUAUAUCUCCUGAACCUCCAUAUUUCUUUUCAAACUUUCAUAAUCUCUUCCAUAUUAUAUCAAUGAUAAUUGAUUUGAUCUGGAUUUCACUCCUUAUGCUAUCUGUUUUUAAGAAUAAUAAUAUUUCAUGAGACUUUGAUAUUCAGACUUAUAUUUUAUAUAUACUAGUUAGCUAUCAAAAUUCCAUCUGCUGUUACACAUUUCGUUUAUAAUAAACAACUUUAAUGUUAUUCUGUCAAAUAUAUGAAUAUUUACCAAUUUACAACUCAUACAUAUAAGUCAUCAUGCACAACUCUCACCCUACAUACUACACAUUUGUCAUGUCUAUAUUAUUUUAUUAAUAUUCAGUCUAAAUUUUGCAUUAUAACAUGCAUCAGCAAUUCUUGAAGUUUCAAUUUAAAUUUCUAUGUUGUGUAUGUAAUUUAGAUCAUUUCUUUAAAAAUUUGUGAAUAUUGAUAUUUAUUGUUAUUUCCAUUGAUAUUCCUAAACAUCCACAAAAUGAAUAUUUGAAAACUUGAGUUUAUUGAACAAAGGGAGAUUUGUUCUCUCUUUUAUCCAAAGUUAAACAAUAAUUUUAUUUCCUCAUAAUCACUUCUCCAAGUCAUCUGACUACAUGAUAUAAAAUUUGGCCUUAUUUUUGUCAAUAUUUGUAAACAUUCAAAGAUUCCUUUUCGAAAAAAAAAAAAAAAAUCUAAUAGGCAGUCAUUCUGUGUGACAGUACUGAAUUGCUCUGAUCAUAAGACUGACCCUGUUUUAUGCAAAGGAAGCUCGUCUCCUUUGACCAAUUGGUGAGUCUGGUAUGCAGGGCAUAUCGUCAUGAAUUGUUUGAAUGAAUAUGGGUUCUAUUUAGCCUUGGACCCAGGGAGCAUGACAGCUUGAGCUUGUGCAUAUUUUUCCCUUUGAAUACUUCUUUAAACCUACAUGCUUCAGGAACUAGAAUAUCAAAAGAUAGUAAUGAGGGAAUUGCCCCAAUCAUAAGACCAACCCUGUUUUAUGCCAAGAAAGCUCGUCUCCUUUGACUAAUUGGUGAGUCUGGUAUACAGGGCAUAUUGUCAUGAAUUGCUUGAAUGAAUAUGGGUUCUAUUUAGCCUUUAACCCAGGGAGCAUGACGGCUUAAGCUUGUGCAUAGUUUUCCCUUUGAAUACCUUCUUUAAAGCUACAUGCAUCAGGAAUUAGAAUAUCAAAAGAUAGUAAUGAGGGACUUGACAGCUGGAGGCUUUUCCUUGAGCAUGUCUGACUGACUGGAUGCCUUUGAAUAAAUAAAUAAAUAAAUAAAUAAAUUGUACUCAUCCAAAUGCAAUCAUAAAGUUGAUGGAUUCAUCUUGAAUCUUAAUGCUUAACCUUCUCGACAGUAGUUGAUUAUUAAUUGGGGGGAAAAAAAUGAGAGAGAGCGAGAGUGAACACACGAGCGAAGGCAAGGAGGGGGAGAGCCGAGCAGAGAAUCGUGGGAAGAGGAAGGGAAGCAGAUUUGUGGUGGAAUCGAAGGUGUUAGAGGUAGAAGCCGAGGAGAGAAAAGGCAAGAUCCAAGUUAUUAUCUCGGAAAGCAAGGGAGAGUUACUGUCUUGGGUCCGCCUGGGGCCGGCGAGUGUGGGGCUGUUCAUAGAAGGGUUGACUCAAUGCAUAAGGGAUGGGAAAGAAGGAAGAUGGGAGAAGGGUUGGAAGGAAAAAGGGAGGACUUACUCUUUGGUGAGAGAGGUCAACAGGGUUGGGUGUUUCAUCCGUCUAGGGGUGACCGAUAUGGAGAAGAGGAGAUUUGGUAUUUGUAUUCCAAAAGGUAGGGGGGUGAAGGGGGGAUGGGCUUCUAUGGUGGAGUCCUUACGGAAUGUGGGACUUUGGUUCGAAAAGAAGGAAACCGACCAAGAAGUAAAGGUCUCAGGCAGGUUGUAUGUGGAAGUGGUAAAGGGUCUGGAGUGCAGGGAUGCCUCAAGGGUUAGAGUGGAGGUAAAGGGAGAGGAAAUAAGGGGAAAUGUGAGUAGAUUGGAGCAUUGCUUGGUAGGAAAAUGGAACCCUAGAUCAGCACAAGAAGAGGAUUUGGAGAGAUUAGGGUGGUCGGUGGCAAGAGCGUGGGGGUUGAAAGGUAAAUUAGGUUUGGCUAGAUUGGGUAAGGGAUGUGCUCUUAUGGAGUUUGAGAUUGUGGAGGAAGCUAAGAGGGUUCUAGCCUCGGGGGAGAGAUUAGUGGGAGGGAUUCAGCUGGGAUUGGAGAUGUGGAGCCCGAAAUUUGGAUGUUCUUCAGAGGGUGAAGCUAGGAAAGAAGCCUGGGUGAGGAUUUUGAGUCUCCCAAUUUCGCUAUGGGUGCCGUCAAUUCUGAGGAGAGUGGGGGAAGCGUGCGGCGGGUUUUUAGGCAUUGACUCCCUAACAUAAAGGAAGGAGGAACUGGAGUGGGCCAGGGUUCUGAUAAAAUCGAAUGGGGAGGAUUUGCCGAGUACGUUGGAGAUCGGGGUUGAGGGGGAGGUAUACGCCCUGUCUCUGUGGUGGGAGAUCUCGCCGUCGCUGAGGAAGAAACGGGGGGAUGACCGAGACGGGUAUGGGCGGCAGAAAGGGGAGGUUAGGGGUGAUGAAGAGGUCCUUCACCUUUUAGAUUCGAGAACAUGUGGCUGAAAGUGGAAGGGUUUAAAGACCUCAUGCGGAGUUGGUGGCAGGGGAUGUCGGUCAGUGGAAGGGCUAGCUAUAAGCUGGCUACAAAAUUGAAGGUGAUUAAACAGAAUUUAAAAACCUGGAAUAGGGAGGUGUUUGGGAGCUUGGAGAGUAAUAAAUUGGUUGCUUUACAACAAGUGGAAUACUGGGAUCAAGUGGAAAGCGAGAGGAGACUGAUAGAGGAGGAAACCUCCAUUAAAAAAGAAACAAAAGAAGGAUAUGCUAAGUGGGUUAAUUUGGAGGAGAUACAUUGGAGACAGUUAUCAAGGGAGAUAUGGCUAAGAGAAGGGGAUAGAAAUACGGGUUAUAAAUGACAUUUGGGUGGAGAACGUUUCUUCUAAGUUAGCAUUCUUUGCGUGGGAAGCUACUUGGGGGAGGGUUCUUACCCUUGAUAGGCUUCAAAAGAGAGGAUGACAGCUUCCUAAUCGUUGUUAUUUAUGUGGUAGUGAUGAGGAAAAUGUAAAUCAUCUUCUUAUUCAUUGUACAGUGGCUAGAGUGUUGUAGGAGAUUGUCCUUGGUUUGUUUGGUACCCAGUGGGUCUUUCCAGAAUUUGUAAAGGAGGUGGUUCUUAGCUGGAAGGGUUCUUUUGUGGGUAAAAAGAGGGAGAAAAUUUGGAGAUCCAUUCCGUUAUUUAUUUUUUGGACGGUUUGGAAGGAGAGGAAUAGAUUAGCAUUCACAGGGGGGGGGGGGGGGGGGGGGGUUAGUUUUUUAAAAAAUAAAAAAUUUUUUUUUUUUUAAAGGGGGGGGGGGGGAAAAAUUUUUAAGGGGGGGGGGGGCCCCCCCCCUUAAGGGUUUUUGGGGGGGGUUGGCCCCCCGUUAAGGGGGGGGGGGUUUUUUUUUUCCUUUUUUUUUUUUUGGGAGGGCCCCGGCGCCCCCCAAAACCCCCUGUUGGUAUGGGGGGGUUUUCCCUUUUGCAAAAAAAGGGGUUUUCUUUCCGAAAAAAAAAAAAANNNNNNNNNNNNNNNNNNNNNNNNNNNNNNNNNNNNNNNNNNNNNNNNNCUCCCUUAUAGGUUUCUUGGAGUGGUUAGCCUCCAGUUAAGGGUCGGUGGGUUUUUUUGUUCCUUUUGUCUUUUGUUGAGAGGCCCACGUCGCCUCGUAUACUCCCUGUAUGCUAUGCGGCGUUUUGCCUUUUGCUAAUAUAUGUGUUUACUUAUCGAAAAAAAAAAAAAACCUUCUAUACAGUAUAUUAUUUCCCAAUGGAAGUGCUAUAAACUAAACAAAUACACCCUUUCCAAUUGCUAUAAAAAUUACUGGGUUGGAAACAGUCCACAUAGGUGAGUGAAUUAUCGAAUAAUCUCAAGAUUGAACAGCCAGAUUUUUCCAGAUAAGAAGUCGCUACAAAUCUUUUCUUCUCUUAAUUAUUUUCUUCUUUGAGAUUCUGUAACUGCUGUGUGUGCAUGAUUGGUCACUCAUUUUCUUGUGACAUCAUCUUCAUGACUUAUUUUCUUCACAAGAAACAUUCUUUUUUAUUCUUUGACAGAAUUUAAAAGUUGACUUUGAUUGGUUUACCACUUAGUUGCAACCUCAUUUUCUUAGCCACCUUUCCCCAUCCCAAGUUCAAAAGCCUUGUUUCUAUUUCUAAGUCAGUAAGAGCUAUCCUUACUCCGUCAUUUAUCAGGAUUGUAUAUAUCGUGUACUCUUUGGUGCCAUUAUAUAUACAUGUUAUUUGUAAAUCAGAAAAAAAAAAUAUGGAAAAAUGUCUUAAGAGAGUGGUUUGGAGUUAUUUGGGAUUGUGAUUAUGGGGGGUGGGUUUUUUUAUUCAGCAUUAGUAAGUUCUCUCCAAUCUUCUUCAACUUUUGAUUUAUGCCAAGAUUUUUGCAGUUUAUUUUUGUAGUUGCCAGCAUAAGUUAAGGCCUGAGGUGUAGAAGAGGAUAACCCAUGAAAAUUGAGUUUAUAGAGAAAAGGAAAAACAUAUUUUAUUUAUUUUUAUUACUGUUAAAGAGUAAAAAAUGUAUGUUAAGUUAACGUCCUCUUGUGCACACAUCUCCAACCGUGCAGGGAGUGAAACAUUUUUAAACAAAUGCAUGGGGAAUAAACGAACAUAGAAGUUUAAACCUGAGAGUUCUAAGAAUCAAGGCUCUAGUACUAUAUUAAAUGAUCAGUUAUCACAAAAGUUUAAGCUUAUACAGAAUGAGUUAAGAAUAUUUAUCAAGUUAAUGGAAAUGAUAGGAACUAGUUAGUGAAAGAGAGUGACAAAGGAAAUUGACAGCAGAAAGCUAAUCCUUCAAAAGUAAAUGGAAUUAACAAAUUAACAAAUUACACUCAUUUCCAUGCUGUUAAAGAAAAUGAAAUCGAUCUCCAUGUGACUUAGUCAAUUGGUUCAUCUCAAAGGUCUAGUUUUUAAACUUGUUGGUAUUAUAUGUAUGGAUAUACCCAAUUCAAUUGCCAUUAAAAAAUAAAUAGAUAAAUAAAUAAAUAUACUCCUUCCAAUUGCUAUUAACAAUUAUUGGAAGUGGGUGACUAUCUGUAUGGUUGACCUGGUAAACGGAUUCAUCUCAAGAUGGCCCAAUUAGCUUUUCUAGAGAAGUCAACACAAACAAUUUUAUUGUUUUAUUUUUAUUUUUUGAUUUUUCUUCUUCUACAACAAUUGGCUGUUCAUGAUUAGUCACAUAUUGGUUGUAACAUCAUCUUGAUAACCUACUUUUCUGCAUGGGAAUCAUUUUUUUUUUUUUUGGUUCUUUGACAGAAUGUUAAAAUUGACAGAGAUAAUGAGAUUGGUCCAACACUUAUUAAUGGCAACAUCAGUUUUGUUAGCCGUUUUCAUCUAUCUCCUAUGUAGAGGCCUUGUUCCUUAUGCCUAAUCUAUAAGAGCUAUCUUCUGUGUAUCAUAGAUGGAUCAUGGAUUAGAUAAUGCAUAUGCAAAACAUAGAAGAAAGAACACUGCAGGGAUCAUUUCCUAGGAAAAGCCUUUCCUCUCAAAGAAAAACUAAUCAGGAUUCAGUACUACUAGCAUACUUUUGAUCAAGUAGAUUUUAUGAGCUGAGCUGACUAAUAGAUCUUCUAUGCCUAGUCCCUUUGUUUUGUACCAAAAAAGGAAAAAAGGAAGUGAGAAAAUAAGAAAGGAGAAAUCAGAAUGAGAAUUUAGAGUGCAUGAUUUAAAAUGCUUAAANNNNNNNNNNNNNNNNNNNNNNNNNNNNNNNNNNNNNNNNNNNNNNNNNNNNNNNNNNNNNNNNNNNNNNNNNNNNNNNNNNNNNNNNNNNNNNNNNNNNGAAACAGUCGACAACCCUAGAUUUUCUUAUUAUGUAAUUAAAUAGUCAGCAUUUCCAAAUCCCUCGUGUUUUCGUGUAUAAAUACUCAACCUUGACUAAAAUUCUUCAUUCUCAUCCCACUCUAGCUUUUGUUUUCUUUAGCUUGUUAUAUAUUCAUCCUCUGAAGUUAGCAUGGCAAAGAUUUAUUCCUCUAAGGCCUCCAAAGUAAUGCUGACAGCUAUAUUUGUAGCAAUUCUAUUGCUUAUGUUCUCUAUGGCCACUACUGCAAUUCUACAGGACACAACAAUAGGAGUUCAGUAGGGUGAGUAGAAAAUUAUCAUAUGGAGUGUUCUAUUUUUAUUUCUCAAUGCCAAGAUACUUUUGCUUUUUGCUAUCAACUUUGCAUGCCUUUUGCCUUCUUCAUUUCUGUGAUUGUGUGUGAACUUUGUUCAGUUUCUAUGAGUUGGGGGUUUUAUUGAAUUCCAUCCAUGGAAUUGGUAACUGAGAAAUCUUCAAACAGAAGGGUCUACUCAUCUGUGUUCCUGACCGCCUAUCAUUUUUGUGUUGCAGGACGGAAGGCUCUAGGUUUAUCUGUUCAUGUUGAUUAUGAAGACCAGUAUGAUGCAGGAAGGGGAGGAUACGGCUCAACAAGUCCAUAAUCGUGGGAUUGAGUUCCCAAGAGCUGUUUUCGGGAAGGUUGCCAAAUAAAUCUAAGAAUUUCUGUGUUUCUGAGUGAUAAUAUAUGGUUCAUGUAUGUUAUUUUACAAAGCAUUUGUACCUUAAAGAAGCACAGAAAGUUGGUGUUAGUCUCUAUAGUGUUGUGAAUUUAUUUUUCCUGCAGUUGUGUUGAAAUUAUAAAUGAAGAGCUUUUCUCCCAGUUCCAUAGUAAUUCUCUUUAGUACUCUACAGAGGAGUCCUACCCAAAUCCCACACCAAAUUGUUAGUUUACAAAAGUCUAUUACCCAUGGAAAAGCUGGGAGUUCUUCAUCCCACACCAUAUUGCAUUUGAUACAGAUUGCAAUAAUUUUAUGAACAUUAUUGGGAGAACCUUAAUUUAAUUUAAUUUUUUAUUUUAUUGCUGUACAUAUGCAAAAAUCCCACACAUUCUGUGUUCAACCAAAUCACAUUGUUAUGUGGAACCAAAAAACCGCUGUCGUUUAACUCCACGGAGAAAGUGUAAGUACUGCAACUGCUGAUAAGUGAUGAUGGCAUCUGCCAUUGAUGCAAAUCUGUUUUCUUGUCACUUCUUCAGUUUUCUUGUCCACCAAAAGAGGAUUGAAAGUAUUUUAUGUCCUUAGUUUCUUCCUUUUAGGAUCAGCUGAUCCAAUUCUCUUGCGUCGGUUUCUCAAUUGUGAGAGCCAGAGGUUUUAGAGGUUUCGAGUCUUUUGACAUGAUGAAAAUGACCCACAAGUCCUGUAGGGGUUUUCAACUGAGGAGCAGGAUUUAAAUUUCAAUGACGUGUAGAAAAAGAAAAUUUUGUUUCUUUCUGCAACCAGCAACCCAACUAAAAGAAAGCAGGUUCAGUCAACUUUAUUAUGAAUGGAGCCUGUAUUACAAAAGAAAGUGAAGCGUUAAGACAAAUAUUGAGACCCAUUUAAUUCUGCUGCUUGGCGUUUUCAGAGUGAUUUUGUUGGUAAUUUGCUGGAUUUUGUGGCGCUUUCUCAAGGGUAGGUGUGAUUUUUUGGUUUCUGAAGGAGAGAGACAGAGGGAUAUCAUAAAACAACGUGGCUAAAACUUCUCUCUUUCUCACAAUAAGUUUAGGCGUUUAGGGUUUUUGCCUCUAAUUGGCAGCAGCAUGGAGCUGUGCGGGAGAUGGACAAAUAUGAGAAAAAAUCUAACCCACCUGCAUGGAAGCCAUUUUUGAGCGUCUGAGCUCUCCUUUUUUAUCAAUUGGAUGCUGUUUAUGUAGGGCUUAACCAAUCCAAGUUGAAGCCCUAGCUCAAACCCUGAUGGAGCUAAUUAGUCUUAUGUCCGGAAAGAGCUUACUUGUUUUACUUGAGCCUUGAAAAAGUUCAGCAGAUGGAGAGUUACAUUUUCCUAAUCCUACGUUUGCUAGUUAUAAUUACAAUUCCCCAUCUCUCCUUGUAAAUUCUCAGUUUAUAACAAUAUUAGCUAUCUCAUCCUAAGCCCAAAACAGCUUGCUCUAAAUCUCUAAUGCCUUCUAAUUCAUGGUAACGGAUGCUUUGCUUUGCUUCGGUAUGUCAACUUUACACAAACAAAAAUAACAUUCCAAUUGGAAUGUGUUCGAUUAGUUAUGCAUUUAACUACAUGCACUUGUACUUUGCAGGAGAAAUCGAGGGCUUUCCAUGCAUUAAUUGAAUAAGGCUAGUGACUAGUCUAAUGAGUAUCCAAUGGAUGAGUCAUAAGAAAAGAGGAAAGAGAUAUUUUCCUGGUUACUGGAUGAGGCAGAGGCUGAAUCUUUACGCUUUACUUGAUGCCUGAGAAAGAUUCUAUGGAAAUCAUUUCUUGAAAAUAUUACAGUAAGGGGGUUGUAUGUUUCUUCCUCUUGAAAUUUUGAUGAAUAAUUUCCUCUUGGUUUUGAAGUUGUGGUUUCCUACAUUGGUGGAUGUCAUUGGCAUUAUCUGACUCUGUUUAUCUAUAUUUCUUUUAUUCUUUGCAUUUAUUUUUCUGGCCCCUUUCCUUUUCUUGUUUAUGUCACAUUUUCUGUUGAUUAUCUUUUAGAAUGCUAUGUUUAUACAAAUAACAGUGUGGCUUAGAACUGUUGUAUGUUUGCAGUCUAUUGCUCAAACCGUCUGUCUGAAUACAAUGGUUGAGCAAUAACCUAAUAAUUGAAAGUUGUGAAGAACUCCCAUAUUGCUUUUGUGUGAAUCCCAUGGUUGAUGUUUUUUUUUUUUUCAUCGUUUUGGAAGGGGUCUGAUAUAUUUUUUUUCAAUAGGGUAAGUGUGAGGCAUACUUUCUGACCCCAACCAGAUCCAUCAUUUUGAUUUAAGAAUUUUGCAUUUGUAGAUAUACCAAGAUGCUUUUGUUUUGCUGUUAACACAUUUCCAAACAAUUCAGAUAAAGUGUACCAAGAAACAUCAUCAAUAGAAAUAUCCAUAUUUUCAGUCUACAGAUUAGGAACUUGCAAUAAUAUAGCUCAUAAAUCCAGUAGAAAAGCUUUAAUAUCAUGCAACUUUGUCAAUGCUUCUCUCAUGGUUGAACGAUCUGUGGUUGAAUGAGCAGCACACGACAAACCAACAUGUAUUAUGGCAGUAAUACACUCUUCAGUUUUGAUUUUCCAAUGGGACAAAGUAUUGCUGCUAGUACCGAUGCUGUUAAUGCAACCAGAAGAACUAGUGAAGAUGCUAUAGUCUAUACAAGCAUCAUCGUUAAAAAGCCGUUUGUCAGCCAUAUCUAAAAAUUGAUUUAUGAGCAGUGCAGAUGCCAACUUAUUCUGAUUUAAACCUUCCUGAAACAUGUCAUCAGUGGGUUUCUUUGCUGUGAAUAUCUCAAGCAGCAAAAUUCCAAAGCUGUAGACAUCCCUACUUGUUGAAAUUCUGCUACCUAAACUACACUCUACAACAAAAUAACAGCACAUUAGAGUAAUGGACACCCGCACUCAAAAAAUUGUAAUACUAGUCAUAAAGGGAAAACAAUGAUUUGGACAGUUUUAGUUGUGUGUGGUACCUGGAGCAAUGUAACCAAUCGAGCCCUUUAGUCCAAUUGUGCUGCUUUCAUCCUCUGAUGGAUUCUUCCAAAGGAACCUUGCCAGUCCAAAAUCUCCCACAUGGGCUCCCAUAUUAUCAUCUAAAAGUACAUUUGCAGGUUUCAAAUCACAAUGGACAACAGGUGGAUCACAGUCAUGGUGCAGAUAAUUCAAGGCUGAAGCUACAUCUAUUGCAAUAUUUAAUCUCUGGAUCAGAGUCAACGCUAACCUAGAAUUGGUAUCUUCUGGAUACAGCCAUUUCUCCAGGCUACCAUUGGACAUGAACUCCAUAACCAAGGCCUUGAAUUCAACCCUCCUUUUGUCAAUGCUUGAGCAUGAAGUGAUAACCUUCACAAGGUUUCGAUGCUGAAUGUUCCUCAACACUUCACAUUCUGUAUUGAAAUUCUCAGAUGCUUCACCUUGUUGUAAGUCGAUAACCUUCACUGCAAAUAUGGUGUUGACCCCAUUUUCACCAGUUCUGAAAACUCCUUUAUAUACAGAUCCAAAGCCUCCCUUUCCUACCAAAUUUUCUGCGGAGAAAUCAUUUGUAGCAUGCUGGAUGUCAGAGUAUGAUAUCUUUGGCAGCAACGCCUUGAAACAAGGAGAUGGAAAAGUUGUUCCUCUCCUCUUUUUCUUGUUUUGGGAGAUCAGCAUCCAUGUGAUGCAGGCUGCACACAUUAACAGAGUCAAGCUGGCAACUGGAAUCACAAUCUUGAGUAUCAAAUGCCUAUUUGACUUCACUUUUGUGAUACAUAUGGGGAUUCUCAUCUUUCCUGCAGCCUCAGGGUCACUACCACAGAGCUUAUUAUUUCCUGUAAGAGAAAGCCAGGUAAGGUUCAUGAAAACACCUUUUCUUGGAACUGGUCCUCCCAAGUCAUUGAAAGACAAAUUUAAGAUCUGCAAAUACAAAAGAUCCUGUAACUCUUCGGGGAUUUGUCCAGUCAGACUGUUGGAAGAAAGAUCCAUGCUCUCUAAUGCUAUUAAUUUACCCAUCGACACUGGUAUGGCCCCUGAGAGUUUGUUUGUGGCAAUAUUAAAACUACGCAGACUUAAGCAAGAACCAAUUGUCGUUGAAAUAUUUCCUGACAGCUGGUUAUUAGAAGCAUCCAGGACCUCAAGGUGUUCCAAACUUUCAACUAGGGCGGGCAGAGAACCACUUAGUUCAUUAUGCGCCAAAUAUAUCUCGAUUAUAUCAAGAAGUCUGAAAAUCUCCUUGGGUAUGCUACCAUUGACCCUGUUCUGUCUUAGACCCAGUCUCUUUAAAUUCUUGCACUCUCCAAUACUUGUGGGGAUUCUACCAGAGAACUGGUUGUACCCCAUUGUCAGCAAAAAGAGUCGUGUAAGAUUGCCAAAGUUAUCUGGAAUUUCUCCGGAUAACAUAUUAUUAUCAACCAAUAAUCUCUGUAGUUGCUGAAGUUUUCCUAGGGAAUUUGGUAUCAUACCUGUGAAAAGAUUUUGGUGUAUGUCCAAGGCCCAGAGAUUUUGAAAUCUUUCAAAUCCUUGGGGAAUUCUACCAGUCAGAAAAUUGCUGCCAAUGCAAAAUUCAAGGAGAUGAGUAGAAAGAUUCGCAACUGAAGUUGGAAGUUCACCAGCUAGCUGGUUAUCAUUAAGAUAUAGAAACUCCAACUGUGUAGAGUUUGCUAGUGAAUUAAAUACCUGAAGAUUAAGCUUGGUGGUGGAAGAGAGAUUAUUCAGGCCAAGAUGUAGGAGUCUAAGAUUAUUCAUGUUACCAAGUAGAGGAACUGGCCCUUGAAAGUGGUUUGAAGAAAAGUCUAGGACUUGAAUUUGUGAAGCAUUAGAGAAAGAACUGGGAAUUGGCCCUUCCAGCUGGUUAUGUGCUAGGUAGACUUCUGCCAGGUUUGGAAGUGCAAGGCCCAUAUCAGUUGGUAGUUCUCCAACAAGCAUAUUUUCUGCUACAGAUAAGUAGAUCAAAGAAGAGAUGUUGUAGAUGGAAUAAGGGAUCUUUCCCUCAAACUGAUUCUCUGAGAGCUGAAGUCUUUGAAGAUUAUGGAGAUGACCCAGCUCAUUUGGGAUUUUGGCGAAGAAUUGGUUUCUUGCUAGGCUGAGAACAGUAAGAGAGGUGAGGUUUCCAAAUUUUGGAGCGAUUACACCUGUAAGGUUAUUCGCUGCAACGUCAAGAAUUCUGAGUCUCGGCAGAUCUCCAAGUUCAGAUGGAAGGUUCCCAAUAAGUUGGUUGUGCUCAAAAUAAAUCUCCUCAAGGUUAUAACAAUGAGAAAGACCAACUGGAAUUCUACCAUUAAUGGAGUUUCUUGCAAGGUUAAUAUUCUGAAGGAGUGACAGAUGGCUAAAAUCCAGUUGAAGUUGGCCAUAAAAUGAAUUGUUGGAAAGAUCUAGCAAUUGGAGGGAAGUGAGGUUAGAGAGUCGAGGGUGUAUCAUACCAGAGAGCCCAUAACCAGCAAGACGAAGUGACAGAACUCUAGUUCCGUUGUUGGCACAAGUGACGCCAAACCAAGUGCAGUGAGAUGAAUUCAGGCUCCACCCAGAAAGAACAUUUUGGGAGUCAGAGACUAUGGACUUGAAAGAUAGAAGUGCGAGAGUAUCUGUAUCUGUAUCAGCAUCAAUAGCCCCUACCCUGUUCGUGCUGCAAUAUGGAAUAAUUUGAAAGGGGAGGAGGACAACCAAUGAGAAAUAGAGAUGUUUCUUCAUUUUUGAAAGAAUGGUCAUUGAAUUCAAGAUUUGCAGUCUAUAUUUUAGCUGCCAGCACAUGUUAAGGCCUGAUGUGUGUAGGAGGAUAACCAUUGAAAAGUUGAAUUCAAUUAUCAAACAAGGGCAAAUUAUUUAUUAAUCAGCCCCUGUUAAGAGCAAUGUAACUUCCUCCUAACCAUGUCUCCUGACAAGAUAUGAAAAUGACCUUAAAUUUAUAUAAUUAUUUUCCAGACCUAGCUUCUGUCUUAUUCUUCAUCCUCAGAUUCCAUAAUGAGGGAAAUGCCAUUUUUCUGUAUUAAGUAUCAAGAGGGAGAGUCGAGUUAGCAGCAGUGGAUGGCUGAAAUCAUUUGAUCAAUUCUGAUUUCUGCAAAAGAAACAGAAAUCUGUUGAUUAAUUGGUCGAUUGUGCUCCCUUUUCUCUUACUAUGCAGGGUAUACUAGAGAACAAUGACCUCUGGUGCAUAGUUUACCCUUUCAGAUAUUGUUAGGAGGAAGAUACCACUGCAACUAGUAUAGAAAGAGGGUGACAAGCUAGACUGAUAGUCCUUUGACUUUUUUGUUAGAAUGCCUGAGAAAUGUUAUAAAAAAGCAUGUUAUAAUAAUCCCAAAUGCUGUCAAAGAAAAACAAAUCUGAAAGUUUCUAGCUGGAUUGAAUAGUCGAUGGAUUCAUAUCAAUGGCAUUAUUUCUUAAAAUUUUUCCAAGGAGAAUGUACUUGAUCCAAGUGCUAUACGAAGAAUAAAUUUAGCUUUUAAUUUCUAUAAGACUACUAAUUUGAGAUCUGUCGAAAAUAGCUGUCUGCCUAAAUGGAUUGAUCUCAAGACAAAACAAUUAAUCCUUUUCAACAGUUGACUGUGAUCCCUCCUCCCCUUGGUUGCCAUCUCAUUUUCUUGCCAACAUUUCUCUCUCUAUUGUUCAACUUCUAAGUCAGUAAGAGGCAGAGAGAAGUAGGUAUGAAUUCUCUCUAUUCUAGACAUUUAUUUGAUUGUCUCCCACAUUUGGGAUUUGUCUUCCAUUCUGACGAUGUUCAUGACUCUUCAUUUAUGGAUUUGAGCCUUUUCGAGUAUCUGCCUGUCUCUUAUUAUAUCACUUUAUCUACACCAUCCUCACCCACAUCACAGAUAUUUGAUAUAGAUCAUGAGAUUGCACAACAUGAUUCAGAUGAUGACUUGUUUCCUAAUUAUGAUUCAGACCCCAUUGAUCAAAGAGUUUCACCUGCUAUAGAGGACACAUAGGUUGUUGAUUUUGGCAUAGCAGAUCAACCUAGGGAGUUAAGGAUCGGAUCGAAUUUAUCUGCAGAUGAGAUAGACAACCUUAUCUAGUUGCUCAUAUCGUAUUUGAACGUUUUUGCAUGGUCUUAUGAGGACAUGUCGGGCCUUGAUCCAUCUAUUGUCCAACAUUGUUUGCCACUUCUGCCCUAUGCCAGACUGGUUAAGUAGAAGUUGAGACAAUUGCACCAUUGCUGGAGCUUGCAAGUGAAAGAGGAGAUUCAGAAGCAACUCAGUGUAGGAUUUUUAUUAGUGGUUGAGUAUCCUGAGUGGCUAGCUAAUGUUGUCCUUGUUCCCAAAAAAGAUGUCAAGGUGAGAGUUUGUGUUGAUUUCCAAGAUCUCAACAAGGCUAAUCCUAAGGAUGAUUUUCCUCUCCCACAUAUCGAUAUGCUAGUUGACAGUAUGACAGGUCAUUCGAUGUUGUCCUUUAUGGAUGAAUUUUUCGGGUACAGUCAAAUCCUGAUGGCUUUAAAGGACAUGGAGAAGACGUCCUUCAUUAUCGAGUGGAGUACUUAUUGCUACCAAGUCAUGUCAUUCGGGUUGAAGAAAGCAGGAGCUAGUUAUUAGAGAGCAGCGACCACCCUCUUCCAUGACAUGAUGCAUCGAGACGUCGAGGUUUAUGUAGAUGACAUGCUAGUGAAAUCCCGAGAUAGAAUAGACCACCUAGCAGCCUUGGAGAGAUUCUUUGAGAGGAUCAGGCAGUUCAGAUUGAGACUAAAUCCCAAGAAGUGCACUUUUGGAGUGACUUCUGGGAAGCUACUAGGAUACAUGGUCAGUGAGAGAGGCAUAUAGGCAGAUCCAGAUAAGAUUAAAGCCAUCCUUGACAUGCCUGUACCAAGGAUCGAGAGAGAUAUCAGAGGCUUCUUGCGUAGACUUCAGUACAUCAGGCGAUUCAUCGCCAGAUUGACAGACAUCUAUGAACCCAUUUUCCGACUCUUGAGGAAGAGUCAACAUACUGUUUGGGAUGAUCAGUGCUAAAGCGCAUUUGAGAGGAUCAAAGAGUAUUUAUUGUCUCUUCCAGUCUUGGUGCCUCCUACACUAGGUUAUCCUUUACUCUUAUACCUGUCGGUCUUAAACGUAGCCUUGGGAUGCAUGUUAGCUCAGCUCGAUGAUUCGGGUAAGGAGUGAGCUAUUUACUAUUUGAGUAAGAGGAUGCUAGAUUACGAGAUGAGAUAUGUCAUGAUUGAGCGCUACUGCUUGGCAUUGGUUUGGGUCAUUCGCAGACCGAGACACUACAUGACCGAGUAUUCGGUACACUUGAUAUCCCGUCUAGAUCCACUGAGAUAUUUGUUUGAUAGGCUCGCUUUGGUCGGACGACUUAUGAGAUGAUUGGUACUUUUGACUGAGUUCGACAUUCAUUAUGUCACUCGAAAGUCUAUCAGAGGGAGCAUUGUUGCAGAUCAUUUAGCCUCAUUACCAGUUUCUGAUGGUAAAACCAUUGAUGAUGAUUUCCCGGAUGAGGAUGUUGCUGUUGUGACUAGUUUGUCGGGUUGGUGCAUGUAUUUUGAUGGUGCGGCCAACCAUUCUGGAUACGGGAUAGGUGUUUUUUGAUAUCUCCUCAUGGUGACCACAUUCCUAGAUUUGUUCGUUUGACAUUCUUGGAUCGACAUCCUGCCACGAACAAUAUUGUUGAGUAUGAGGCUUGUAUCUUGGGAUUAGAGACAUCUCUUGAGCUCAGGAUUAGACAGAUGGAGGUGUUUGGUGACUCCAAUAUGGUAUUGAGACAGAUUUAGGGCAAGUGGAAGACUAGAGAUGUGAAGCUUAGACCUUACCAUGCAUACUUAUAGCUACUGGUUGGGAGAUUUGAUGAUUUGAGGUACACACAUCUGCCUAGAGCGCAAAACCAGUUUUCAGAUGCCUUAGCUACACUAGCUUUCAUGAUUGAUAUUCCUACCAAGGCUACUGUUUGCCGUUUACUGAUCGAGUUGAGAUUUGUUCCUACCUACUGUUGCUUGAUUGAUGAGGCAGAGUUUGAUGAUGGCUUACCUUGGUACCAUGACAUAUACCAGUUUCUGUGACUUAGUGCAUAUCCUGAGACUGCCACAACCAAGGAUAAGAGAACAUUGAGACAAUUGGCCACUCGAUUUGUGAUUCGUGGAGAGACAUUGUACAGACGAUCAGCUGAUGAGAUGUUAUUAUUGUGCUUAGACCAUGCCUCUGCCGAUCGAGUGAUGAGAGAGGUUCAUGCGAGAGUCUGUGGACCACAUAUGAGAGGGCACAUGUUAGCCCGUAAGAUCAUGAGGAUUGGAUAUUUCUGGUUGACCAUGGAGACAGAUUGUUGCCAGUUUGUUCAGAGAUGUCCAUAGUGCCAGAUACAUGGGGACCUCAUUCAUUUACCCCCUUCAGAGUUACAUGCACUAACUUUGCCAUGACCAUUUUUAGUAUGGGGCAUAGACAUUAUUGGGGUCGUUAGUUUCAUCAAAUCACACAUUAUUUGUUGCCAUGGAGUUCCUCAUGAGUUGAUUUCAGAUAGAAGAGUACAUUUCAGAGUAGAUGUCGACACUUUAUUAUAGAGAUACGGUAUCCAGCAUUACAUAUCGUCUGCGUAUAGGUCGCAAACUAAUGAGGCUAUAGAGGCUGCGAAUAAGAAUAUUAAGAGGACCUUACGGAGGAUAGUUGAGACUUCUUGGGAUUGGUCAGAGAAGCUCCUUUUCGCAUUGUAGGCUUAUCGGACUUCUUUUCGCACCUCUAUAGGAGCCACACCCUACUCUUUAGUGUAUGGUAUUGGAGCAGCAGAUUCCAAAGGCAGAUUGGGCUCAGGCUCGAUUAGACCAACUCAAUCUCCUAGAUGAGAGGAGAUUGAGGGCAGCAGACCAUGUUCAUGCUUAUAAGAGGAAGAUGACCCGUGUAUUAAAAAAACAGGUUAAGCCUAGAUCGCUAUAGAAAGGUGACUUGGUUCUAGAGAUCAUCAGGGGAUUGAUCAGAGAUCCUAGAGGAAAGUUCAGACUCAAUUGGAGCGGACCUUACUUCAUUAGGAAGUUGACCCUAGAGGGCGCUGCAUGGUUGAUGGAUUUAGAUGGAAACCGAUUCUCGGAGCCAACUAACGUAGAUCAGUUGAAGAAAUAUUAUGUUUGAGACCAUGGUCAUAGGAUGGGUAACCAUCAUUUCGGUUAGCCAUAUACCUUGUUAUUCUCUUUUGAUAUACAGACCGUUGUUAGCCCAUUGAGCCUCGCAUGUGCAUUAUAAUCUUUCUUUCUUAUUGGCUUGCUCACUUUUUUUUUUUUUUUUUUUGCGUCAGGAUAGGGGCCCUUUAGUGUAGGCAUGCAUUGUUUGAGAGUCUCAUGAGUCUUGGACCUACAGGUGCAUCUUUCUCUCAUUAUUUUUCCUACCAUCACUUUACUGCAUUCCAUCUUAUCUCAUUGGUUGUGUCCUUCAUCUCUUCUUUUUUAUUCUAUCCAUUGCUUGUUUUUCUUCAUAUUCUCUCCACCUUGAGUGGUGAUCUUCCUCAAUUCAUUACAUGGAGGAUAGUCACAUCAUUUCCACUAUCUAUCAUACAGACACUAAUUUAGAGAUCCUUAAUUUGAGAAGAUCAUCUCGUUAGAGAGAGUUUUUGUUGCACUCGAGAGUGUGUCUAUCCUUUAUUGAUAUCAUCUUUGGGGUUCAUUUGUUUAUGUUCAGGGUAUGUGCAUUUGUAUGUAUGUAAAAAAAGAAAAAAGAAAAGAAAAAUAAGCACAUGUGUGUAUGUGUAUAGUAUUCUCCAUCAUUGAGCGUGUAUAUUGAUAUCUGAGGGUCAUUUUAUCGAGUAUGUUUGUUGUUGAGAGUUUGUAUGUGAGCUUUCUGAGAUCAUCUUUUCUUUGCAUCCACUUUGUCAUAUUUCUUUGAGAGUGAGAUGAGUAACCUUCUCCUAGGGACUCUAGGUCAUUGUCAUUUCCAUCAUUACAUUCAUUAUUGAUGUGACUUCACUCCAUGUUUGAUUUGAGUUGAUCAUCACUUUUAUUCGUAUAUUCAUUGUUUCGCUCUCAUCUUCAUCAUUGCUUGUGAUUCAUCCUCUUCGCUUCACCCCCUUGUUCUUUUCCUACACUGACUUAUUCCAGAUUUGAUAUUUCCCUGGCAUCAUUCUUGCGCAUCUCAUUAUCAGUUUGAUUUGCUUCAUCGUCUCAUUAUUGAUAUUAUAUUCACGUUAGGCACCUUCAAGUUCAUGGCUCACGAGAUUUUCUAUACAUGUUGCAUUUCAUACAUGAGGGCAUGAGUUUUGAUCAUUGGGUAUUUGGGCCUAGUUUCCUUUCUUUUCUAUUACCCUAUCACCCUAGCCUAUGUUACGUCCCAUGUCUUAAGACCACCCUGAGGCCAUGGGAUCAGAUGUCAUCUUCAACAACCCCUACUUGGACAGGUGUUUGAGAUUUGGUUGAUAUUUAGAUAUAGUCAUGCUUCUUCUUCUGAGAAAAGCCUCUUUGAUGUUUGGAUCUAAUUUAGCUAUGGAUUUGGAUGAUUGGGAUCACACAUUUGAUGAUGGAUGAUUUGAUGUUUUCCUAUUUUUUUGAUUUGCCAUACAUCUGAUAUCAUACUUGGGCAUAUUCCAUUACGAUUGAGAUUUAUAGAUCUUCAUGGAGUUGCAUGCUUAUCCCCACUUACGAGAUACACAUUGAGACGAUGACCUAUUUGUUAUCUUAUCAUGAUUCUUUGGUGGAGCCUCUUUAAGUCAAACCCACACUUUUCGGCCUUUAGAUGUCAUCGUACUUCUUCUUCUAGAACACGCCUUAUUUGAUCAUUGGAUUCAAUUCAGCUAUGGAUUUGGAUAAUUGGGAUUGCAUAUUAUGAUGGAUGACCCGAUGUUGUCUGAUUUUUUGAUCUACCAUACAUUUGAUGCCAUAUUAGGGCAUAUUUCAGUUUCGAUUGAGAUUUACAAAUCUUUAUGGAGUUGCAUACUUAUCCCCAUUUACGAGAUACAUGCCGAGACGAUGACCUGCUUGUUAUUUUAUCAUGAUUCCCCAGUGGAGUCUUUCUUAGACCAUUCAAUUAGGCUCACACUUUUCAGUAUUUAGAUAUUAUCAUGCUUCUUCUUUUAGAAGACAUCUUCUUGAUGUUUAGGUUUAAUUCAAUUGUGGAUUUGGGUGACAGAGAUCACACAUUGAUGAUGGAUGAUUUGAUGUUGUCCGAUUUUCGGCUUAUUCCACAUCUGAUUCCAUACUAGGGCAUAUUUCCAUUUCGAUUGAGAUUUACAGAUCUUCAUGGAGUCACAUGAUCAUCCCCACCUACGAGAUACACGUCAAGACGAUGACCUAUUUGUUAUCUUAUCAUGAUCCCCCAAUGGAGCCUCUCUGGAGCCAUCUAAUCAGACCCAUAUUUUUCGGCAUUUGGUUGUCAUCAUGUUUCUCCUUCUGGGGUACACCUUUUGAUAUGUGGGUCCGAUUCAGUUAUGGACGUAGAUGACUAGGAUUGCAUAUUCGAUGGUGGAUGAUUUGAUAUCAUCUGGUUUUCCGACCUAUCACACAUUUGAUGCCAUAUUGGGGCAUAUUUCCGUUUUGGUUGAGAUUUGUAGAUCUUCAUUGAUUUGCAUGAUCGUCCCUAGUCACGAGAUACAUGCCAGGACGAUGGUUUGCUUUCAUUUUGUCUUGAUUCUCCAAUGAAGCCUUUCUUGAGUCAUUCAAUCAGGCUCAUAUUUUCUUAUAUUGUCAUGAUUCUUAGAUGGAGUUAUCUUAAGUGCAUAGACUCCCACGUCAUCAUUUCGGUGGAGUACAUGUCAGAUCUCUUAUACAUCCCCCAUUGAGUUAUUCUCGAGUUAUCAGGAUAGACCGGAUGCCUUAGUCACUAUACUGGGGCAUAUUUCUUUUCUUUUUUUUAGCCGUGGAGAUGAUUGUUUUCUCACAGACUUGUUACGGUCUUCAUCACUCGACCGAGGAAUAUUUAUUUGCGUUACUGCUCAUUGUUUCAAUGUUUUUGUCGAGAUAAGCCUCCAAAGGAGCACAACCUUCAGGUUUUGGCUGUCUCACUAUCCAUGACUCUUUCAUAGGUUGUUAUGUUGAGGUCGCAGUAGUUACCCCAGCGGACUAUCCUCUUGAGACCCCUAGUGGAUCAUUAAUUUAAGAUGACGAUGGACUCCUCCAACAGAACAUUUUAAGUUAGAGGUGCUUGACUUAUUGUGACACAUUAUCAGGCCUCGUGAUUUAGUUGGAUGGAUUGUGAGGUCGUACUUAUCAUCGAUUUGAUCAUUCUGACUCGCUAGCGAUCUUUUAAGACUCAUGGAGUCUUUUUCAAACCCUUUCAUUAAAUUAAGAGUUGUGGCGGCACGCUACAUUGAAACAUAUUUCUCUUCUCAUCAUUUCCUUGCAAUUCGGCAUUCAGAGCCGCCAUCUCUUCUCGGUUAUGACGUUCAGAGUCGUCUUUCUCAAUUUGACAUUCAGAGAUGUCAGUUCUCAGGUUUGACGUUUAGAGCCUUCAUCAUUUCCAGUUCAGUGUUCAAAGUUAUGUUUUCGGUUUGGCGUUCAGAGUCGCAUAUCCAGUUUGGCGUUUAAAGCCACCAUCUCUUCUCAGUUACAACGUUCAGAGUCGUCUUUCUCAAAUUGACAUUCAGAGACAUCAAUUCUUAGUUACGGCGUUCAGAGCCUUCAUCAUUCUUAGUUCGGCAUUUAGAACCAUGUUUUCGAUUUGGUGUUCAAAGCCACCAUCUCUUCUUAGUUACGACGUUCAGAGUCGUCCUUCUCAGUUUGACAUUCAGAGAUGUCGGUUCUCAGUUACGGUAUUCAGAGCCUUCAUCAUUCUCAAUUCGACAUUCAGAGCCAUAUUUUCGGUUUAGCGUUCAGAGUCGCAUCUCCAGUUUGGAGUUCAGAGCCACCAUCUCUUCACAAUUACGACAUUCAGGGUCGUAUUUCUCAGUUUGACAUUCAGAGACAUCAUUCUCAGUUACGGAUUUCAGAGCCUUCAUCCUUCUCAACUUGGCGUUCAAAGCCAUGUUUUUUAUGUGGUGUUCAAAGCUGCAUCUCCAGUUUAACAUUCAGAGCCGCAUCUCUAGUUUGGCGUUCAGAGCCAUCUCUUCUCAGUUACAAUGUUCAGAAUCGUCCUUCUCAGUUUGACAUUCAGAGAUGUCAGUUCUCAGUUAUGGUGUUCAGAGCCUUCAUCCUUCUCAGUUUGGUGUUCAGAGCCAUGUUUUCAGUUUAGCGUUCAGAGCCGCAUCUCCAGUUUGACGUUCAGAGCCGUAUCUCCAAUUUGGUGUUCAAAGCCACCAUCUUUUCUCAGUUAUGAUGUUCAGAGUCGUCAUUCUCAAUUUAACAUUCAGAGAUGUUAGUUCUCAGUUACGACGUUCAGAGCCUUCAUCCUUCUCAGUUCGACGUUCAGAGCCGCAUCUCCAAUUUGACGUUUAGAGCCACAUUUCCAAUUUGGCGUUCAAAGCCACCAUUUCUUCUCAGUUAUGACGUUCAAAGUCGUCCUUCUUAGUUUGACAUUCAAAGAUGUUAGUUCUCAAUUACGACAUUUAGAGCCUUCAUCCUUCUCAGUUUGGCAUUCAGAGCCAUGUUUUCGAUUUGGAGUUUAGAGCCAGAUCUCCAGUUUGACGUUCAAAGCCGUAUCUCUAAUUUGGCAUUCAAAGCCUUCACCUUCUUCAGUUUGGCGUUUAGAGCCAUCAUAUCUUCUUGGUUACGACGUUCAAAGUCGUCCUUUUCAGUUUGACAUUCAGAUAUGUCAGUUCUUAGGUUUGGCAUUUAGAGCUUUCAUCCUUCUCAGUUUUGCAUCCAAAGCCAUGUUUUCGGUUUACCGUUCAGAGCUGCAUCUCCAAUUUGGUGUUCAGAGCCACCAUUUCUUUUCAGUUAUGACAUUCAAAGUUGUUCUUCUUAGUUUGAUGUCCAAAGAUGUCAGUUCUCAGUUACGGCGUUCAGAGCCUUCAUCUUUCUCAAUUCGGCGUUCAGAACCAUGUUUUCGAUUUGGUGUUCAGAGCCGCAUCUCCAGUUUAGCGUUCAGAGCCACUAUCUCUUUCUAGUUUGAUGUUUAGAGCUACCAUCUCCACCAUAUCUCUCAUAGUUUGGCAUUUAGAGCCACAUUUUUAGUUUGGCAUUCAGAGCCAUUGUUUAUUCCUAGUUCAGCAUUCAAGGUCAUCAUGUCUUUCUUCCUAUUGGAGUUCAGAGCCAUCAUUUAUUCCAGUUUAGGCAUUUAGAGUCAUCUCUCCUAGUUUAGGAGAGUCGUUCGUUUUAGUUUUGGCGUUCAGAGCCGUUGUGCAAUCAAGCAUUUGGAGUCACCAUAUUUCCUUCUUUUGGUGUUCAAAGUCAUUUUUCCUCAGCCUUGUCAUCUAUAGUCAUGGCUCCUGGCAUUCAUAUUCACUAGCAUUGCACAUCUUGCCUUCACAAUUUUACAUUCGUCUUCAUUUUCCUCACCUCGUUUCCUUGUGUUUAUUGCUUGUUCAUCAUGCUCUUCUAGACUUCUCUUUCCACUGCACAUGACAUAGUCCUUUGAGUUCAUGGCACAUAUUUCGGUCAUGUUGCUAGGCCCCCUACACUUAACGUUCUCAUGUAGUUCGCAUAGGGCAGUCCCCUUUGGACGCAUUCUUUCCUAUACCCCAAGGUGGUUUGACCGUUACUCAUAUCUGACAUUGAUCUUCGAGUCACUUCUGGAGACAUCUUAGAGAAAGUCUAGGUUCAUAGUGCAACUUUAGAGGCACUCUGAGAGCUACCCUUCUCUUAGGAUUUUAGACCAUUUUUGUUCCUUUAUUGGUUUGAGCGAGUUUGUGUUCUACUUGUGCCAUAUUAGGGGUCUUUCUUUUUCUUUGGUAGAGUCCACUUCAUUUCAUUCACUAUUUACACUUUUUUUUUUCACUCUAGUGUUCAUAUUUCUUACACUCGUGAACUUUAUUGAAGAGGGGCAUAUUUUUAGACCUUUUUUUUUAAACUAAAGUUUUUUUUUUCUCUUUUUAUUUUUUACCACCCGGGAGGAGUUGGAGAGCAUUUCAUUUGAAGUGGGGGACAGUUUCCAUGAAGCUCCAUGCAUGGACGUGUGGCUGGGACCACCACCUUGCCAUGGUGGUGGUUGAGAUGGGACUUCUUUUGAGCAAGGAGCAGUGGUACGGGUGGGGUUGGUAGAAGCUUGAGAGGAAGGAAAACAGGAGAAAAUUUGGAGGCAACUUGAGAAAAAUGGAGGAAUGAGAAGGGAAGCUUGAGGAAAAAAAAUGAGUAGAGACCGUUUUGGCUUGAGAAUGAGAACCAACUGAGAAUAAAGUGAGAGAGAACGGGGUUAAAAAAAAAGGGGAGAGGGGGGGGGGGGGGGGGGGGGGGUUAAAGACCCCGGUAAGACCGUUUUUUUUUUUAAAGGGGCCAAAAAAAAAGUUGCCCUGGGCCUGGGGAAAGGGGCCCCCGAAAAAAAAAAAAGGGGCGGGGGCCCUAACCCCAAAUUUCCCUUUUAAAGGGAAAACCUCCCGGGAGGGCCCUCUUGGGUUCCCUUUUUUUUUUUUUUUUUUUUCCGGUGGGCCCCCCCCCCUUUUUUGGGAUUCCCCCCUUGGCGGGGGGGGCCCGAGGGGGGGGUAAUAUUGGGUUAAAAAUUUCCUUUCUUUUUUUUUCCCAAAAAAAAAAACCCNNNNNNNNNNNNNNNNNNNNNNNNNNNNNNNNNNNNNNNNNNNNNNNNNNNNNNNNNNNNNNNNNNNNNNNNNNNNNNNNNNNNNNNNNNNNNNNNNNNNGGGGGGGGGGGAGGUUAAGGAACCAUGAGAGAGCUGAGUUUAAUUUAAAGGAGACAAAAAGAGAGUUGCAAUGGAGCUGGAGAGAUGGCGCACGGAAACAAGAAGAAGGAGCAGUGAGCUGAAGCCUAAAAUUCCUUGUUAGAGGGAAGAUCUUCAGGUAUGGCCAUUAUGGGUUUCCUUUUUUUGUUUUUUAUUUUUCAUGUUGAUCCUGCUUCAUUCUUUGUGAUUUCCACAUUGCUUGUUGGGUUCGUAUGGUUUGGUUAUUAUUGGUUUAAUAUUUCAUUUUCUUUUUUAUUCCAAUAAAGAGAUACCUGAAUGUGCUUCAAUUUGUCGUUUCAUUUGUAAGGAGCUUGCUGCUUUAUUCUGAAAACCUUUUCCAUAGCUCAAUCCACUAAUUGUUAAACCUAUGGAUAAAAUAACAAAAUGGGUUCAACAUAUUGGUUAAGUGUUUUAUGCUUUAUUCUUGCUUCUCCUCUCAUGCUCCUCUGUUUUCCUAUGAAUGUGCGCCCCAAACCUUAGAAUCCAUAUAUCCUUGAAGGUCUCUGGCAAAUCAACUGAAAAUGAAAACACAAAAAAAAAAUUAGAAUUUUUCGAAAUGUUUAUGCAUUGUUUUUUUAAAAAAAAAUUAUUUUGGGGCGUCGAGUAUGCACGGAUCUGGAGCUGUGAUGGCUUGGAACGUUCUACACAACCUUAAGGAGCCUUGGCCCGAUCAUGAUCCUCUUGAUCCUUUGACAAGGUUAGAUUUUGGUGUUUCACCAGUUGAUGCUUCAAAACAGAGGGUUUGGUGUUGUAAAAAAUGCAGCUAGAUGAAACUACCUCGCUGCCACCAGCGUUCUGUUUAUGGGAGAUGUAUUGAAGAUGGACCAUCAUUGUUUUUGGGUUGUGAAUUGUGUUGGGGCUUUGAACGACAAAUAUUUCCUUCUUUUCUUGUUUUACACGUCUCUUGAAACAAGCCUUGUGACUUCAUCAUUACUACCACAUUUUAUAGCUAUCAUUAUUACCACAUUUUAUAGCCAUCAUUACUACCACAUUUUAUAGCAUUCUUUAUUGAGGGAGAAAUACCUGGAACACCUUGCACCUCGGGCCUCGCUUUUACAUGGCUACCCUCAUGUACCACUAACAAAACCUACCUGCUAGCAAAUCUCAUAUUUUUUAAUUCUUCAAUAUCAAAGUUUAAUUUAUUUUUUUUAAACGCCAAUUCUUAAAUUUAAAUUUCAAAAUUCCAAUUCUCAAAUAAUUUUAAAAAUUUCAAUUUCUUUCAAAUUUAAUUUCCGAAACGCCAAUUCUUAAAUUUAAUUUUCAAAAUUUCAAUUCUCAAAUAAUUUUCAAAAUUCCAAUUUCUUUCAAAUUUAAUUUCUGAAACUCCAAUUCUUAAAUUUAAUUUUCAAAACUCUAAUUCUCAAAUAAUUUUCAAAAUUCCAAUUUUCAAAUUUAAUUUCCGAAACUCCAAUUCUUACAUUUAAUUUUCAAAACUCCAAUUCUCAAAUAAUUUUUAUUAUUCUAAUUUCUUUCAAAUUUAAUUUUCGAAACUCCAAUUCUUACAUUUAAUUUUCAAAACUCAAAUUCUCAAAUAAUUUUCAAAAUUCCAAUUUCUUUCAAAUUUAAUUUCCGAAACUCCAAUUCUUAGAUUUAAUUUUCAAAAUUUCAAUUAUUAAAUGAUUUUCAAAAUUUCAAUUUGUUUCAAAUUUAAUUUUUGAAACUUCAAUUCUUAAAUUUAAUUUUCAAAAUUUCAAUUCUCAAAUAAUUUUCAAAAUUCUAAUUUCUUUCAAAUUUAAUUUCCGAAACUCCAAUUCUUAAAUUUAAUUUUCAAAAUUUCAAUUCUCAAAUAAUUUUCAAAAUUUCAAUUUUUUUUCAAAUUUAAUUUCCAAAACUCCAAUUCUUAAAUAUAAUUUUCAAAACUCCAAUUCUCAAAUAAUUUUCAAAAUUCCAAUUUCUUUCAAAUUUAAUUUUCAAAAUUCUAAUUUCUUUCAAAUUUAAUUUCCAAAAUUCUAAUUCUUAAAUAUAAUUUUCAAGACUCCAAUUUUUAAAUAAUUUUCUAGACUUCAAUUUUCAAAUAGAUUUAAAAAAUCUAGUUUUCUUUCGAGCCAUUUUAAUUUCACUCCAGUUUUCAAAUAUAUUUUUUUUAUUCUACAACUCUCCAUCCUUUAUUAGGGUUUUUUUUUAGGUCGUCAAAAAUUCUGAUUUUAAUAAGUUUGCUACCAUUUUCAUUUUGGUAUGCACUUGUACAAAUUUUCUUCGAUUUUCAAAUAAUCUUCUGUUUAUCUUAAUUUUAAAUAAGCAAGAAUGAAUUUUUCCUAAUUCCAAAAUAAUGGAAUUUGUGAGACUAAUUCAUGCAAGAUAAAUUGGGCUUUGGUGGGAGCCCCACAUAUGAGUUUUCUCUUCUGAUUGUCAAUUGUUAUACUUAAUGAAUAUUGUUUGAUCUUUAUCUUGCUCUUUGAUAUGCAUGUGAUAAUUUUAUAAUUGAGCUAACCUUGUUUCCAUGAUAACGCACUAUUACUUGUCGCUAAGGUACAAUCUCACUCUCACUUUGCUUAUUCUUAUGCACGAUUCAUUUUAUUAUUUGAUCAUUUCAUUGGUAUCCAUUACUUUCCUUAUCAAUUGCCAUAUUUGUCUCACCUUAUUUAAUAGAGACCCAUUUUUAAGGGCUUAGAGGGGUGCUACGGUCUUUACCAUACCUUCCCAAUAAGUAACCUGACCCCCGAACCCAGACUCGGUUUUUCAUAAACUUGUCUUUUCCAAAUAAGGAGUCACACUUAGAGUUUUCUUUUUUAUUUUGUUUUCCCUUAAAAAAAUAAAACAAAAAUAAGUGGUGAAUCCAAGUUUUUUCUAAAAAUCAAAAUUUUCACAAAUAAAUAGAAAACGAGUUUCACCAUUGAGUAGGAACGCAUCGAGAAAAAUGCGGGGUCCAUAAGAGGUUUCACCAAUUCCCCAGUUGGUAUACACAAAUCUAGCUUAGGAUCAUCCCAUUUAUUUGGGACCACAAGCUUUGAUUCGUAUUCCAUUCGAAAUCGGAAUUUUUAUUGAAAACCGAGAAAGAUGCAAACUGAUCAAAACAUGGUCUCAUAUUUUUAAAGAAAAUGAGAUUUUGAUUCUAAAGACUCUAAAUGAAAUUUAAAAAAAAAAAAAAGAUUUUCAAAGGGAUCUUUUGAGAAAAGUGUUUUGUUUUAAAAAUAAACAAAAAGAACUAGCAUAAGAUCACACAAACACAUCUAGACUGAAAAGAUAACUUAAAAUUGAACUAAAUUGGAAUUAGAAACAUAAACUUUAUCUAACAUGAUUAAAUGAACUAUUGGAUCAAAAUCACCAACACAUCUAAACUAAAGAAUAAAUUAAGAUUAAACUAUUUGGAAUUAAAGACAUGGACUUUAUCUAAUAGGUUUAUUUAAACUAAUGAAUUAAAAUCACUAACACACUUAAACUAAAAGAUAGGUUAAAAUUAAAUUAAUUAAGAACUAAAAAAUGUAAACUUUAUCUAACAGGAUUAUUUAAAAUAAGGAAUUAACAUCACAAAGACAAUUAAAUUAAGAGAAUAAAUUGUAACUAAACUAAACCAGAAUUUAAACAAAAACAUGAUAUCUAAUAGGAUUAAUUAAUCUUAAGAAUCAAAACUUCAAAUAUAUCUGAAUUAAAAAAUAAACUAAAAUUAAACUAAAUUGGAAUUUAAAAAAAACCAUGAAAUUUAUCUAACAAAAUUAAUCAAACAAAUGAAUUAAAAUCAUAAACACAUCCAAAUUAAAAAUAAAAUAAAAUUAAAUUAAAUUAAAACUAAACUAAAUCGGAUUAAAAAAAAAAAAAACUGGAACUCACCUAUCCCGUAUCAUUGAUACCCUCCUGAAUGCAUGCCUGUUGUGCGUGUUUCAGAAAAUCAUCUCUUAGUGUGUGGCUGUAUGUGACAGCCAUCCUAAAAGCAUGGAGUGGACUGGGCUUAUGGCAGCAUGUUGUCCCCUCGUUAGUAGCAUGUCUUCUCCAUUAGCUUGGUGGUAUUCCAUGUGGUUCCUUUCAUGUGGUUGUGUGAGUGGUCUUCUGGGUGGGCUAUCCGUGGCUACGUAACAUGAAGAAAGGUGGUUGUUUUUCCACUGAAUGGCUUGUAAUCCUCUAUAUAUGAGUGACGACAUUCUCGUAUGUGUGUAUUGUCAACCUAGUUUCGGUAUUUACAAUGCCUUAGAACCUUGGUGUGAUGAAUGGGAGACAACCCUUACUAGAUGGUGGCAUGGGAAGUGGAGGUUUGAGCUAUGUUGAUUGCGCUGGGUUUAAUAUCUCUACAUCUCAUGUAAGUCAGAAACUAUCCAGGUAGCUCUUCUAAUAGAGCUUCGACUACAAAAGUUUGCCCACCACACACUUCCCUCAUGGGAACAAACUGCACAAUAUCUCGAGUUGAUACACGUCCUGCGGAACUCUAUAAUUGACAGCCGUUAUCAGCAUCAAGGAUCUCCAUUUUUUUAAAAUCUGCUCUUCCCACUCCAACUAUCAGAAUCGAUAAGGGAAAAUCAGAUGCCCUGACCAAAGCAUAUUUUGUUUCUUGGAGAUCUGUAAGUACUCCAUCCUUUAUGAUAAGCAAAACAAAAUAUUUGUAGUUGUUAUAGCAGAGGGAUUGGCCAACAAUUUCAACUACAUUGUUGAUCACUUGUCCAAAUAAAGUCGGUCCCGCCAGAGCAACAUGGUUUAGUGCACUUGCAUAGGCAGCCAUGAUCUCUUGGAUUGUCAAGCCCCAAGACCCACUCCAAGGGCGUGACGGUCAUUUCACACCUCAAACCUGAAGGCUUAAAGUAUAAUCUGACCCAAACAAUCAUAUUGUAACUGGAUGUUACCAAUUACCAAAUACCUAUUCAGAGUAGCGGAACAAAAUCUAAAAUCCUCAAAAUUCAAUUUCCAAAUAACUUCCAAAUAUCAAAUGAUCCAAAUGAAUAUAACUAACAGUUAAACAAAAUCCAACAUAAAAUCCUAAGUCAAAUCUUAAUGAUGACCAUUCCUCAGCCUAGCCAUCACUCCUCACCCGAACUAAGAGUACCUGAAAAAUUUUCAACAAUUGGGAAUGAGCUCACAACCCAAUAAGGAAUAUUAAUGCAGUUCAUGGAUCACAUAUUUUCAUUUCAAAUAGGAGAUAUCAUUUUUUUUUCUCAUCAAAUAUCAGAGUUUCAAAAAUACCAAUAUAUUCAAAAUUCAACCAACCAAUUUCAUAUCAAAUUCAAACACUUUCACAUAAGAUUCAAUCAAAUCCAUUCAAUUUUUCAUUACUCUGGUUAUCAAAUAUCAAAUGCCCAGUUAGGUGGGACUUUUCAAAUGGGUGGCUAGCCUCAAAUUGUUCCUGGUGGACGGAACCAAACACUACUAGUACUAGUAAUCUCUAACCAAACCCCUAGAGGCUGGGGUCCAAAUCAAUUACAUUCUCACUAUGAAAUGUAAAGGUCAACUAUUAUAUCUCAUUGACAAGGUCGAAUAGUCAACUAUUAUAUCCCGUUGACAAGUGUCAAAUAAACCAGAGUGAUGUUUUUGUUCAAGUAUUCAAAUUUACACAACAUAAUAUCUCCAUAUUUUGUGUCAUAAAUAAAACAAAAUAUUCCAACAUAAUAUUUAGUGCAAAACAGUUUGAUCCAUGCAUGGUAACAAAAUAUCAUUUUCUUUUCCACAAUUCAAAAUAACAUAUAAAAAAAUUUAAUUUUAUAAAUAUUGCAUUAACUUCCCUUACCUCAAAAGAAGUCCUAAAAAACUUUGGAGAAAAAAAUAAUCCUGAUAAUCUACUCUUCACCUAACAAAACAUAAGAAGAACAAUUAUUACUAUUUACCUAAAAUUAUAGGUUUGACAAUCCUAAAAUUUUAGGUAUUCAAAUUAUUAUUUUUAAUUAUGAAAGACAAUUUAAUCUAUUCAUAAUAAUUUUUUUUUUGGGACACAACUUAAUUUAAUUAAACUAUAAUUUAUUUCACUAAUUAAUUUCUAUGUUAUUUAUUAACUUAUACUCAUCAUUAGUAUAAUUAUAAUACCAAAAAAAAAACUUUACUUUCUUUUAUUUAAAACUUCUAUUCUCUCUUUCCUUUUUUUUUUCAAACAUAAACUUUAUCCAUUAUUGUCAAUAUAAUAAUAUAUAUACAUAUAUAUAUACAUUAACUACCAAACCCCAUUCAUCCCUCCAUCCGUACACACACCCACACCCCAUAUAUAUAUAUAUAUAUAUUUUCUCCAAGUGUGCACAUGCGUCCUCUAUUUUUUUUUCUUUCUAAAAGCUUAAGAAUUUCCAAUUUCCAACAAUAAAUCAAAAUCUUAAAUUUUCACUAUUUUGAUAUUAAAACGAAAUAAUAAUAAUAAUAAUAAUAAUAAUAAUAAACUAACCCUAAUUCCAAUAAUAAAUCAAAAUCUUAAAUUUUCACUAUUUGAUAUUAAAACGAAUUAAAAAAAAUAAUCUAACCCUAAUCUAGAUUUGGGGUUUUCCAAAAAAUAUAUAUCUAAUGUGCUUGAAAUUAACUAAUGAAUCUAAAAUAAUAAUCUAGGGGUUAGAAACUUACCUAUAGAGGUUUGUUCUUCAAACCUUGAAAUCUGACCUCAACUUCACGUUCUCUGGAAACUCUCUAGGAAUAGGAAUACGAUUAAAAAAAGAACAGGAAGAAGAGAAUUUUCUAUUUAUACCUAGGGUAUUAUUCGUAAAAUUACCUUUUCACCCCUCUUCCAUUUUAUUAAAUUAAUUAAUUAGUUAAUUUAAUAUCAUUAUUAAGAAUUUCCUAAAUUACCCUUUAAAAGAAAACUUGGGCAUUACAUCCUCCUCUUCUUAACAAAAGUUUAGUCCUAUAAACUUGACAUGCCUGAAUCUUGAAAUAAUUGGCCUCUCGGAUACUAUGAUUGCUCCACUGGACCUUUACCAACUUGACAACAGCAUGUCGUAGUACCUUAUCCAUCACAUCCACAAUUUGAACGGGUACCUUUUCAUAGGUCAAGUCCUCAAAAAUUUGAAUAGGCUCCAACUCCACAACAUGAGAGGGAUCAUAAAUAUACUUCCUUAGAGUUGAAACAUGAAACACAUUAUGAACCUUAGACAGGCUUGGGGGCAAGGCUACUUUAUAUGCCAAAGUGCCUACUCUUUCUAAUAUUUCAAACGGACCCACAAAGCGAGGACUAAGUUUUCAUUUUCUCCCAAAUCUCAUCACAGACUUCAUAGGUGAAACUUUCAAGAACACAUGAUCACCCACCUCAAACUCCAAAUCUCGCCUACGAUGAUCGGCAUAACUCUUAUGUCUACUUUGAGCUGCUUUUAAUCUUUCUUUAAUCAAAACAACUUUUUCAACAAUCAACUGCACAAGUUCAGGCCCCAAAAGUUUCCUUUCUCCAACAUCAUUCCAACAGAUAGGAGAUCGACAUUUCCUACCAUACAAUGCCUCAAAAGGUGACAUCCUAAUGCUAGCUUGAAAACUAUUGUUAUAGGCAAACUCUACUAAAGGUAAAUGAUCAUCCCAAUUACCUUGCAGGUCCAAAAUACAAGCUCUCAACAAGUUUUCCAAAACCUGAAUUACCCUUUCUGAUUGGCCAUCAGUUUGAGGAUGGAAAGCAGUACUAAAACUCAACUUAGUGCCCAAAGCUUUUUGUAGACUAUGCCAGAAUCUAGAAGUGAAACAAGGAUCUCUGUCAGACACUAUAGAAACUAGUACUCCAUGCAUUCUCACAGUCUCCUUCACAUAAAGAGAAGCUAAACGAUUUAAAGAAAAGUUGACUUUCAUAGGCAAAAAGUGAGCAGACUUUGUCAACCGAUCAACAAUCACCCAAAUAGCAUUAUUACCCCCUAAGAUUCUUGGCAAUCCUAUCACAAAAUCCAUGGUAAUAUGCUCCCACUUCCACUCAGGAAUAGCAAGUGGCUGUAAAGACCCUAUUGGUCGUUGAUGUUCAGCCUUCACCUGUUGACACACUAAACACUGAGCCAUAAAUUGUGCAAUAUCACGCUUCAUACCUGACCACCAAUAGUUUUGCCUCAAAUCCUUGUACAUCUUUGUCCCUCCUGGGUGGAUUGCAAACUUGGAACAAUGAGCUUCCUCUAAAAGCUCCCUCCUUAAGUCUUCAUCAUUUGGGACACAAAGUCUAGUCCCAAAUCUUAAGACCUCAUCAUCUGACAAAACAAAAUCAGGCUUAUUGCCCCUCUUAACUUCCUCCAUAACUUGCACUAAUUGGGAAUCAUUCUUUUGUAGGGUCUUAAUUAUCCCAACUAAGUCUGGUUGUACUCUGAAAUCUGCUACAAGUGCUCCUAAGCCCAUAACUCGAAAGUGGACUUGUAAACUCCUCAACUCUUCAAGUAACUGCCUUUGACAACCUCUAAUAGCUGUUAGAGAACCAACUGACUUCCUACUCAAGGCAUCAGCUACAACAUUUGCCUUCCCAGGAUGAUACUGAAUAAUACAAUCAUAGUCCUUAAGUAGUUCAAUCCACCUCCUCUGUCUCAUGUUCAAUUCCUUUUGGGAAAAUAAAUACUUCAAACUCUUAUGAUCUGUGAAUAUCUCACAAGUUUCACCAAAAAGAAAAUGUCUCUAGAUCUUAAGUGCAAAAACCACAGCAGCUAACUCCAAAUCAUGAGUAGGGUAGUUCCUUUCAUAAGACUUCAACUGUCUAGAAGCUUAAGCUACAACUCUCCCAUGUUGCAUAAGAAAACAACCUAAACCCUGAUGAGAGGCAUCACUAUACACCAUAAAUCCUCCUGAACCUGAAGGGAUAGUCAAAAUAGGAGCUGACUCUAAUCUAUUCUUCAACUCUUGGAAGCUACAUUCACAAUCAUCAAACCACUCAAACUUAACUCCCUUCUGUGUCAACUUAGUUAAAGGUAGGGCAAUCUUAGAGAACCCUUCUAUAAACCGCCUAUAGUAACCAACAAGUCCCAAGAAACUUCGAAUCUCAGUCACAGUAUUAGGUCUUCUCCAAUUAGCUACAACAUCUACCUUUCCAGGGUCAACUGAGAUGCCAUCAUUGCUUACCACAUGCCCAAGGAAAGAAAUUCAGUCUAACCAAAACUCACACUUCUUCAGUUUAGCAUACAACUGCUUAUCUUUGAGGGUCUGUAAUACAAUACUCAAAUGGCCCUCAUGCUCCUCUCUACUUUUUUAGUAUACCAAGAUGUCAUCUAUAAAAACCACCACAAACUGAUUUAGAUAGGGCUUGAAUACCCUAUUCAUUAAGUCCAUAAAAGCAACAGGUGCAUUAGUCAAACCAAAAGGCAUAACCAAAAACUCAUAAUGCCCGUAUCUAGUUCGAAAAGCAAUCUUAGGUACAUCUUCACUUCUAACCCUUAACUGAUGAUAACCAGACCGAAGAUCAAUCUUAGAGAACACAUAAGCACCUUGUAGCUGAUCAAAUAAAUCAUCAAUCCGAGGAAGGGGAUACUUGUUCCUCAUUGUCACCUUAUUCAACUCCCUAUAGUCAAUGCAAAGUCUCAUUGAGCCAUCAUUCUUUUUCACAUAUAGAAUAGGAGCUCCCCAAGGUGAAACACUAGGCCUGAUAAAACCCUUGUCUAAUAACUCCUGAAGCUGAACUUUCAACUCCUUAAGCUCCACAGGUGCCAUCCUGUAUGGGGCCUUAGACAUAGGACCUGUUCCUGGUACCAGAUCGAUGGUGAACUCCACCUCUCUCUCUGGUGGCAAGCUAGGCAAAUCCUCUGGAAAGACAUCAGGAUACUCCCUUACUAUGGGUAUGUCUUCCAACUUCAAAUCACUUUCAUUACUCAUCACACUAGCCAAAAAUCCUUGGCAACCCUUCUUGAGCAAGCUACUAGCUCGCAAGGUUGAGAUCAUACGCAGUGGUUUGUCCACAUGUUUCCCUUCAAAGCUAAACUUAGGUUGACUAGGAAUACUAAAUGUCACCUUUUUUUCAAAAUAGUCAACAGAGGCAUGGUAGGAAGCUAACCAAUCCAUCCCCAAAAUCACAUCAAAAUCCUGAAGGUCAAGGAGUACUAAGUCAACUGGCAUUUCCCUAUAACCAAUCAUCACAAUACAAUUUCUAAUCAUUCUACUGGCCACAACAGAAUCUCCCACAAGAGUAGCAACAAUCAAAUCAAAGUCCAUGCUAGCAACAGGCAAACCCAACAAACCAGUAAAAGAUACUAAAACAAAAGAGUGUAUUGAUCCAGGAUCAAUCAAGACUCUAGCAAAUAAGGUGUGGAUUCAGAGAGUACUUGUCACCACAUCAAAAGUGGCCUGAGCAUCUCGAUGAGUCAUAGCAAACACCCGUCCUUGGGCUUUGGGUUUCUGUUUAUCCUCCUUAUUUUCCUCUUUAGGCUUCCUAGUGAUGAACUUCCUAUUCUCUGGACAAUCUCUGAUCGAAUGUCCUUGCUUCCCACAACCAAAGCAAACUCCAGUCUCUCUAUAGCAUGACCUACCCCCAUGCUUCUUACCACAAGUAGGACAAGCCCCAUCUAAAUUAUGCGCUGUCUUCCCUUUAUUCUGAUUUCUUCCUAAUGUAGACCUUCGCUGUGCUUGAUUACCAUGAGCACCAUCACUCCUAUUUCGCUUCCUUUGCUGUUCCCUAUACUGAUGAAGCUCCUCAUUAUCUUUCUCUGCUAUAAGGGCUCUAUCAACAACCUCUGAAUAGACACCAAGCUUUAGAAUAAAUAUCUUGUUCUUCAAAUAAGGCUUCAAUCCAUCCUGAAACUUUAAUGCCUUUUCCUCCUCUAUAGCAAUCAACUGUGGGGAAAAACGUGAUAACUCUGUAAAUUUGGCCUCAUACUGAGCCACAGUCAUAUCCCCCUGUUCCAAACGAAUAAACUCUCCCACCUUCUGCCGCCUAACACUAUCAGGGAAAUACUUCUUGUAGAAAGCCUCCCUAAAUUGUCUCUAUGUUAUGGGUCCCUGAUCCUCUAAAAGUCUCCUAGUCAUACGCCACCAAUGAUCUGCCUCUUUAUCUAAUAUAAAGCUGUAUAAGAGGUUUUUUGCUCCUCAGAGCAAUCUAUGACACCAAAUAAUUUCUCCAUCUUAAGGAUCCAAGCCUUUGCCUCUGUGGGAUCUGUAGCACCAGAAAAGUAAGGAGGACCCAAUUUCUUGAAGUCAUCAAAAGAGCUACCCCUAGAAGAUGAAGACUGUCCCUGAACAUUAGUCCCAACAGCUCGAGCUUAGCGUUCAACUAAACCAGCUAGUGUCCCAAGAUACCUAUAAAUCCCUUCUGUACUCACAAGAGGCAAACCCUCAACUGGAGGUAUAUCAUCAUUAGCCUGACUGUUUUGUGAAGAAGCUGCUCUUCUUGGUGGCAUGAUGUCCUAAAAUAAUAAUGCAUAACUAAAUUAGUCACUAAAGAACCAAUUAGAAAAUUUCCAAAUAAAGAAAGAAUUGAAAUUUAUACUAAAUGAAACUAAAACUUAAACAAAUGCGUCACUCAUCUAUCCCCAAUCUAAACCAAUUCAAAUUCCCAUCAAGAUCAAAACCUAGUGCUCUGAUACCACUCUGUCAUGCCCCAAGACCCACUCCAAGGGUGUGACGGUCAUUUCACACCUCAAACCCGAAGGCUUAAAGUAUAAUCUGACCCAAACAAUCAUAUUGUAAUUGGAUGUUACCAAUUACCAAAUACCUAUUCAGAGUAGCGGAACAAAAUCUAAAAUCCUCAAAAUUCAAUUUCCAAAUAACUUCCAAAUAUCAAAUGAUCCAAAUGAACAUAACUAACAGUUAAACAAAAUCCAACAUAAAAUCCUAAUGAUGACCAUUCCUCAACCUAGCCAUCACUCCUCACCUGAACUAAGAGUACCUGAAAAAUUUUCAACAAUUGGGAAUGAGCUCACAGCCCAAUAAGGAAUAUUAAUGCAAUUCAUGGAUCAAAUAUUUUCAUUUCAAAUAGGAGAUAUCAUUUUUUUUUCUCAUCAAAUAUCAGAGUUUCAAAAAUACCAAUAUAUUCAAAAUUCAACCAACCAAUUUCAUAUCAAAUUCAAACACUUUCACAUAAGAUUCAAUCAAAUCCAUUCAAUUUUUCAUUACUCUGGUUAUCAAAUAUCAAAUGCCCAGUUAGGUGGGACUUUUCAAAUGGGUGGCUAGCUUCAAAUUGUUCCUGGUGGACGGAACCAAACACUACUAGUACUAGUAACCUCUAACCAAACCCCUAGAGGCUAGGGUCCAAAUCAAUUACAUUCCCACCAUGAAAUGUAAAGGUCAACUAUUAUAUCCCAUUGACAAGGCCGAAUAGUCAACUAUUAUAUCCCGUUGACAAGGACCAAAUAAACCAGAGUGAUGUUUUUGUUCAAGUAUUCAAAUUUACACAACAUAAUAUCUCCAUAUUUUGUGUCAUAAAUAAAACAAAAUAUUCCAACAUAAUAUUUAGUGCAAAACAGUUUGAUCCAUGCAUGGUAACAAAAUAUCAUUUUCUUUUCCACAAUUCAAAAUAACAUAUAAAAAAUUUAAUUUUAUAAAUAUUGCAUUAACUUCCCUUACCUCAAAAGAAGUCCUAAAAAACUUUGGAGAAAAAAAUAAUCCUGAAAAUCUACUCUUCACCUAACAAAACAUAAGAAGAACAAUUAUUACUAUUUACCUAAAAUUAUAGGUUUGACAAUCCUAAAAUUUUAGGUAUUCAAAUUAUUAUUUUUAAUUAUGAAAGACAAUUUAAUCUAUUCAUAAUAAUUUUUUUUUUUUGGAUACAACUUAAUUUAAUUAAACUAUAAUUUAUUUCACUAAUUAAUUUCUAUGUUAUUUAUUAACUUAUACUCAUCAUUAGUAUAAUUAUAAUACCAAAAAAAAAAAAAACUUUACUUUCUUUUAUUUAAAACUUCUAUUCUCUCUUUCCUUUUUUUUUUCAAACAUAAACUUUAUCCAUUAUUGUCAAUAUAAUAAUAUAUAUACAUAUAUAUAUACAUUAACUACCAAACCCCAUUCAUCCCUCCAUCCGUACACACACCCACACCCCAUAUAUAUAUAUAUUUUAUUUUUUUCUCCAAAUGUGCACACGCGUCCUCUAUUUUUUUUUUUUUCCUAAAAGCUUAAGAAUUUCCAAUUUCCAACAAUAAAUCAAAAUCUUAAAUUUUCACUAUUUUGAUAUUAAAACGAAAUAAUAAUAAUAAUAAUAAUAAUAAACUAACCCUAAUUCCAAUAAUAAAUCAAAAUCUUAAAUUUUCACUAUUUGAUAUUAAAACGAAUUAAAAAAAAUAAUCUAACCCUAAUCUAGAUUUGGGGUUUUCCAAAAAAUAUAUAUCUAAUGUGCUUGAAAUUAAUUAAUGAAUCUAAAAUAAUAAUCUAGGGAUUAGAAACUUACCUAUAGAGGUUUGUUCUUCAAACCUUGAAAUCUGACCUCAACUUCACGUUCUCUGGAAUCUGUCUGCGAACAGGAAUACGAUUCAAAAAAGAACAAGAAGAAGAUAAUUUUCUAUUUAUACCUAGGGUAUUAUUCAUAAAAUUACCUUUUCACCCCUCUUCCAUUUUAUUAAAUUAAUUAAUUAAUUAAUUUAAUAUCAUUAUUAAGAAUUUCCUAAAUUACCCUUUAAAAGAAAAUUUGGGUGUUACAUGGACCCUUUCAACCUCAACACCACUUGCACUUCCAUUUAAGUUAAAACAAUGUGAUAUGGUACCAUCCAUUAUUCUUCUCCCAAAUCCCCAUGCAGGAAAGCGCCUAUCAGAAUCAUAAAAUUGUAUGACCUCUUCGACGUCCAUUAUAGCUUGUUGGUAAGCAUUGAACCGGCCAAAAUGAUCAAUGUAGUGCAAAGAAUCUGGAGUUCGAGGAUUUCCAUUUGAAGCAGUAAAAUCGACAACAACCAUAAAAUUAAGUGCACAUCCACUAGAUACAUAAUCAAUAAAACUGUAUAGUUGCUUCUCACAAAAUUGAUCAACAAAUAGUUGGUCCUUCAAAACCUUCUCAUGACCAUGUUGAACAGAAGAGGGUAAGAUGAAAUUGACACCAAUUUUUUUUUUUUUUUUUUUUUUGUUUAUGAAGUUUUUCCAAGUCUACCACUGAUUUUUGAAGUUCAAUAAUCAGUACAUUAUUCCCACUAGUAUUGAAAUCAAAGCACUCAAUAACUAAUAGGUUAUCCUUGCUAACAAAUUGCUUCAUUGUCAAACGUAGAGGCCUCCAGAUUGGAUUCAAGUUGUUAUCAACCACUUUUGUCUUGCAAAUUGAAAAAAAACCUCCAUGUUCAACCAUCCUAGAUAUUCUUAGAAAAGGGUCACUUUUAGAAACCAAGUCUUUGUUUUCCAAAUGUGAACAAUGGAAUAUAACAUCAAUAGAUUUCCUUGAAGCAGCUGUUUCCUCUGCAUGGACAAUGAGUUUCCCUAGGUUUUUCAAACCCCUAUUCCCAUUUCUGUUAUGAAGAUCUAAGGUUAAAUUUUGGCCUUGUUUAGUCAAUAUCUCUGAUAGAACACAACUGCAUUCUCCAAGGAAUUCUUGAUCAUUCAACUUCAGUGUUUGGACAGUCUCCAAUCUUAUCACUUGACUUCAAGUUGCCAUUCCUCUCCAAGAUUCUCCCCAAACAAGUGUACUACCGGUUCGACUCAUUUUCUCCGAAGUCAAUCCCAUAAUGCUUUCUCUCCAAAGUUUGUAUGCUAUAAUGAUUUCUUCCUUGCUUGGAGAAUGGUGCGGUUGGUUGAUGGUUCUUCCCUGAAUCUGUUGGUUCUUCUCUGAGUUAGAUCUUCCCCUCUAGAAAAAUCCCUCGUGCUCCUUCCAAAUCACUGGCUUAUGCGUCCUCUUCCUCUCCUGGAGAUAUAUGUUUCUAUUUUUCUCACGAAAACAAUCCAAAAAAAAUCCUCCUGCCUCCUCCCGUGUCCCUUAAUUGAAUACAAGGUAUGUCAUUUUCCCAUCAUAAUAGUAAGCAUUUAAUUAUAAUUACUCAAACCUCCCGAUGAACUAAUCCUACUGGUUCUAGUAAACGAUUUACUUGCACCAUUCCCUCCAACAAAAUGAAGAGAUCAACCACCAUUACCUCCCCAUAAGAGAGAAUCUCCAAGGAAAAUAUGAGGAAUUUUGUGAGCACCAUCAGUACUAAUGAUAACAACAAUAAUCAAACCAUAAAUUCCCAACACUCUUGCCAUAACAGCUGGAACGAUCGACUUCAUAACAAGUUCCAAUCUCAUCACACCCAUGGAGGCCACACCAACCCCGUUCUUUGUGGUUCCAUAUGACACUCCCAUAUAGGAGAAAACAAGGGUGGUAGCAGCGUCGAGGAAACCGAAGAAUGGAGCCAUCUCAUCGCCGCUGAAGGUAGACAUCUUCUUGUGUUUGAUUUCCACCCAAACGGACCAGAUUUGAAAAAAUUUCUUCCUUUUUCUCUGCAGUGUCCUUUCCUCUAUGCUUAGAAUUUUUCUUCCUCUUGUUCCCUCUUCCUUUGUCUGGUGUGAUUGCACUUUUUUUCUCAUUUUUUUUUUAUGAUCUCUCUGAUCCCCUUUCUAGAAUGGUAAGUCUUCUUUUCAUGUAACGCUCACUAUUUCAUUCAUCUAUGCGCGUGAUGUUCUCCCAACUGUCCCUUGUAUUUUUCCAAAAAAACCGGCUUCAUUCAUUCACCAGAACGCCGGAGAUCCCUCUUUCACGUGAUGCUGAAUCGCCCUUUACCCUCAUGGUGAAUAUGUGUUGUCCAUUUUUAAGUCCCCCGCAUCACUUUCCAAUGGUGGUUGCAUGUGGACCUUCAUUGUAGAUUUCCUCCAACUCUCCCAAAUCCAUAGAUGCCUUUAAAAUACACUUUUCUUCCCAUCCUGAUUUUUCAUUCCAAAAAAUAUAUAGCCCAUUGACCUUCUUUUUCCUUAAAAAAAAUUUGACCUUGAUUCCCUAUUCCCAAAUAUGUAAUCGUUUCCUCAUCAAAACAAAAUAAAAUAAACUUAAAAAUUAAAAAAAAAAAAAACUAAUGAAAAUCAUGAGAUUGAUAAAUAAAAUAAAAGAAGAUUAAAAAGAAAAAAAGAAAGACUAAAUUACGUAAUUUCAUGAUUUAAUAAUGCAACCACAUGCAUAUUUAAAGUCAAAGCAAUUCAAGCAAUUUUCUAUUAAAUAAGUAAAUAAAUAAAAAAAAUUAAACAAAAAUAAAUGUAAUUAUUAAAUUCAUGCAAUAAUAAUAAAAAGAUUAAAAAUAAAAAUAAAAAUAAAAUAAUAAAAAAAUAAAAUAAGAUAAAAUAAAAUAAAUAAAUAAAUAAAUCAAGCGCGUGCUAGUCAUACAAUCUAUGCAACCCUACUUGAGAGGUGACCUAAGCAAGACUAGUAAAACUAAGUGGGCUAGUCAUGCCUAAUGGGCCAUGUGUGCUUAAAUGAGCCUAAGGUGCUUAUGUGGGCUUAGAGUGCCUAAGUGGGCCUAGGAAGGAUGCCUAAGUGGGGCCUAGGAUGCCUAAAUGGGCCUAGGGUGCCUAAAUGGACUUAAGGUGUCUAAGUGGGCCUAAGGUGCUUAAGUGGGCCUAAGGUGCCUAAGUGGGCCUAGGGUGCCUAAAUGAACUUUAAGUGCCUAAGUGGGCUUAAGGUGCCUAAGUGGGCUUAAGGUGUCUAAGUGAUCUAGUCUAAAUAGGGCUACCAAGAGUCACAAUGGGGUUAGGUAAAUCUCUUAACCAAAGUCUCCAAGGUGUCUUAGAAAAGAUAGACUACACGAGUAGUAAUGGGCCACCAGGAAAUUGCUGUAAAGUAUUGAACAAAUACCUAAUAGGACAUGUGCUAAGAUGACAAAAUGGAGAGUCUACAGAUAUUUUCUUGUUUAGGGGAAUUUGUCCAAGGUUUCCUUUCAACUCCUUGUGUGCGCCGUAACAUGCUAGCAGUGAUUCGUGAUGAGGACUUGACUUCUUAACCAUCACCUCCAUGUAUUCUCUUGUAGUAAAGGCAACCCUAUAGCUUGAAUAAGAGUAGUAGGUUGAAAUAUCACGACUUGAUUCUUGAUUGUAUUUCUCAAACUAGUUAUGAACCAUAUUCCUCUAUUAAGCACUUGUCCUUACCAUUAACGCUUCAAACUACUCUUAAUAAAUUCACACCGAUGAGGUUUGCCUCAAUUUAGUAAUCUAGCCUAUUAGAUUGUCAUACGUCCUUGGUCCAAGCUGCAUAAUUAUAUUUACAACAAAUGUCUUUCAAUUUAAUUCCUUACCAAAGGCUUCAUAACCCUAGAACCAUUGUAGAGUCUUGCCCUUCAAAUGAAUAAAGGCAAUCUCAACCUUCUCUUAUUCCAACAUUUCAUUAUACUAGAAAAACCUCUCACACUUGUACACCCAACCCACAAGAUUUUCCUCCUCAAAAGCUAGAAAAUUCAAUUUUAAAAAUUUGGUUUGCAUAUGAUUCAUGUUAGAAGCGAAACCUGUUCGUGGCUUGAUUGCAAUUAAACCACAAACCCCCAUGGAAACCAUUGAAACCAAUGAUUUUUCUAUUAGAUGAUCAAUUUUGAGGUUCAUUGCUAUCAUCAUUCGGGCUAACUCCUUCAGUUCUAACGAUUGUUGAUUUGAGGUCUCUUUCAAUUGCUUUACGGAAUCCUCCAACGGAUGAACUUCUUGUGUUCUAGUCCCAUCCAUCAUCACUUGGUGCUAGGUUGUCGCUCUAAUACCGAUGAAACAACCAAGAAGAAGAAGAUACGAUAUAAACAAAGAAAAAUAAAACUUUUAUUGAAUAAUGUUCUCAUAAUCCCUACCUAAAAGGAACUAGUCUCUUUAUACCCAAGAGUCAUUGACUCAACAAAAAUAAAAGUAUAAAUUGCAAAAGAAAAUCAAAUAAAAUCUGAGUAAUUACCAAACUCAGCUUAUUCAGAAACACCUAAGAUAACCAAAAUAAAAUCAAAUAAAAUGACGGAACCUAAUUUAAAAUGAGUUAUUGCAAAAGUAUUUUAAAGGUGGAUUUUAUAACCCUCGUUUCUUCCUUGUAGGAUCAGCUGGUGCAAUUCUCUUGGGUCAAUUUCUCAAUUGUGAGAACAAGAGGUGUAGAGAUUUUGAUAUGAUCAUGCUUAAAACUGCAAGUAGGGAUGUCACAGAGAGGCAGCAUUAAAGGUGCAAUGACGUGAUGGAGAAAAAUAAAAUUUUGUUUCUUUUCUGCAACCAGCAGCCCAACUAAAAGAGAGCAAGUUCAGUCAACUCUAUUAUCCAUGAAACCUGUAUUACAAAAGAAAGUGAAAGAUUAAGACAAAUAUUGAGAGACCCAUUUAAUUCUGCUGCUUGGCCUUUUCAAACAUAGUGAUUUUGUUAGUAAUUGCUGGGUUUUGUGGCUCUUUCUCAAGGGUAGGUGUGAUAUUGGGGUUCUGAAGGAGAGGGACAGAGGGGUAUCAUAAAACGACGUGGUUGGAACUCUUUCUCACAUUACGUUUAGGGUUUUUGCUUCUUAUUGGCAGCAGGAAGGAGCUGAGUGGGAGAGUGACAAAUAUGAGAAAAAAAUAACCCAUCUGCAUGGAAGCCAUUUUUGGGCUAAGUUUCAGUAGUGGAGGAGAAAACUGGCAAUUCCUCAGUCUGAGCUUCUCCUUUUUCCUCAAUUGGAUGCUGUUUAUGUAGGGCUUGACCAAUCCAAGUUGAAGCCCUAGUUAAAACCCUGAUGGGGCUAAUUAAUCGGAUGCCAUAUUGCAGAAAGAGCUUCUUACUCAUUUUACUUGAGCCUUGAAAAAGUUCAGCAGAUGGAGAAUAACAUUUCCCUAAUCCUCCAUUUGCUGGUUAUAAUUACAAUUCCCCAUCUCUCCUUGUAAAUUCUCUGUUUAUACCAAUAUUAGCUAUCUCAUCCUUGCCAAAAACAGCUUGCUCUAAUGCUUUCUAAUUCGUGGUAACAGAUGCUUUGCUUUGAUAUAUGAACUUUACGCAAAUAAAAAAUAACAUUCCAUUUGGAAUGUGUUCAAUUAGUUAUGUAUUUAAUCCCAUGUACUUGUACUUUGAAGGACAAUUCAAGGGCUUUCCAUGCAUUGAUUGAAUAUGGCUAAUGGCUAGUCAAAUGAGUAUCCAAUGGAUAAGUCAUAAGAAUAAGGAAAGAGAUGUUUUCCUGGUUACUGGAUGAGGUAGAGGCUGAAUCUUUAUGCUUUACUUAAUGCCUGAGAAAGAUUCUAUGGAAAUGAUUUCUUCAAAAUAUUACAGUAGGGGGGUGGUAUGUUUCUUCCUCUAUUGAAAUUUUGAUGAAUAAUUUCCUCUUGGUUUUGAAGUUGUGGUUUGCUACAUUGGUGGAUGUCAUUGGCAUUAUUAUCUGACUCUGUUUAUCUAUAUUUCUUUUCUUCUUUGCCUUUAUUUGUCUGUCCCCUUUUCCUUUUCUUGUUUGUGUCAAACAUUUGCUGUUGAUUAUCUUUUGGAAUGUUAUGUUUAUACAAAUAACAGUGUGGCUUAGAACUGUUGUAUGUUGGUAGUCUAUUGCUCAAACCAACUGUCUGAAUAAAAUGCUUGGGUAAUGACCUAUUAAUUGAACGUUGUGAAGAACUCCCAUAUUCCUUUUGUGUGAAUCCCAUGGUCGAUGUUUUUUUUUUCAUCAUUUUGGAAGGGAUCUGAUAUAUAUUUUCAAUAGGUGUAAGUGUGAGGCAUACUUUAACCAGAUCCAUCAUUUUAAUUUAAGAAUUUUAUAUUUGUAGAUAGACCAAGAUACUUUUGUUUUGCUGUUAACACAUUUCCAAACAGUUCAGAUAAAAUGUAUCAAGAAACAUCAGCCAUAGAAACAUCCAUAUUUUCAGUCUGCAGAUUAGGAACUUGCAGCUUUAAUUAAUAGGACAUAAAGUUGAACAUAAAAAUCCUGCACUAUCAUGAAAAAAUAUAGCUCACAAAUCCAGUAGAAAAGCUUUAAUAUCAUGCAACUUUGUCAAUGCUUCUCUCAUGAUUAAACGAUCUGUAGUUGAAUGAGCAGCACACGACAAACCAACAUGUAUUAUGGCAGUAGUACACUCUUCAGUUUUGAUUUGCGAAUGGGACGAAGUAUUGCUGCUAUUAAUGAUGCUGUUAAAGUCACCAGAAGAACUAGUGAAGGUGCUAUAGUCUGUACAAGCAUCAUUGUUAAAAAGCCGUUUGUCAGCCAUAUCUAAAAAUUGAUUUAUGAGCAGAGCGGAUGCCAACUUAUGCUGAUCUAAACCUUCCUGAAACAUUUCAUCUGUGGGUUUCUUUGCUGUGAAUAUCUCAAGCAGCAAAAUUCCAAAGCUGUAGACAUCCCUACUUGUUGAAAUCCUUCUACCUAAACCACACUCUACAACAAAAUAACAUCACAUUAGAGUAAUGAAGACCCACACUCAAAAGUGGAAUGUUCGAUGCCGAAUGUUCCUCAACACUUCACACUCUGCAUUGAAAUUCUCAGAAGCUUCACCUUGUUGUAAGUCGAUAACCUUCACUGCAAAAAUGGUGUUGACCCCAUUUUCACCAGUUCAAAAAUGGUGUCGAUAACCUCAUUUUCUUAGCCACCUUUCCCCAUCCCAAGUUCAAAAGCCUUGUUUCUAUUUCUAAGUCAGUAAGAGCUAUCCUUACUCCGUCAUUUAUCAGGAUUGUAUAUAUCGUGUACUCUUUGGUGCCAUUAUAUAUACAUGUUAUUUGUAAAUCAGAAAAAAAAAUACGGAAAAAUGUCUUAAGAGAGUGGUUUGGAGUUAUUUGGGAUUGUGAUUAUAGGGGGUGGGUUUUUUUAUUCAGCAUUAGUAAGUUCUCUCCAAUCUUCUUCAACUUUUGAUUUAUGCCAAGAUUUUUGCAGUUUAUUUUUGUAGUUGCCAGCAUAAGUUAAGGCCUGAGGUGUAGAAGAGGAUAACCCAUGAAAAUUGAGUUUAUAGAGAAAAGGAAAAACAUAUUUUAUUUAUUUUUAUUACUGUUAAAGAGUAAAAAAUGUAUGUUAAGUUAACGUCCUCUUGUGCACACAUCUCCAACCGUGCAGGGAGUGAAACAUUUUUAAACAAAUGCAUGGGGAAUAAACGAACAUAGAAGUUUAAGCCUGAGAGUUCUAAGAAUCAAGGCUCUAGUACUAUAUUUGUUAGAAUUCAUGAGAGUUUGCCUUUGAAAAUGUCUUAGUUAGACUUAGUCUCUGUUUUGCUAUCUCUGAUUUUCAGUUUUCUGUUAGUAGAAGUAGUCAUAGCAGCUGAGAGUUUUUAGCAUUUUCAAUUUGGUUGUAAGCCUAUAAAUAGGCAUUCUCUUCGGUGAAAUAUAGUGUGUGUCUUUCUCCAACUCAGUACUCUAAUAUUUUCUGAAAGUUUUAGUUCCUUUCUCCAGAUUUUUAACAGUGGUAUCAGAGCAAAAUUCCUAUGGGCUGUGAGGCAAAGUUUUUGAGUGUUUUGAGUACUAAACACAGUGAGGUUGAGUGCAAACACUAGUGAGGUUGACUGAUCUAUUUUUUUCAGGCAACUGUGGUGCAAACAUGACUCCUUCUAGCAAUAUUUCCUCUGUAAUUCCAGUGUUUAAUGGUGAACACUAUCACAUUUGGGCUGUCAAGAUGAGGUUUUAUUUAAGGUCUCAAGGUUUGUGGAAUGUUGUGAUGUCAGAAGCUGAUCCACCACCAUUGGGAGCAAAUCCUACAGUUGCUCAGAUGAAAGCAUAUGAGGAAGAAAAACUCAAGAAAGACAAAGCCAUCACUUGCCUACAUUCAGGACUUGCAGACCACAUCUUCACCAAAAUCAUGAACUUGGAAACACCUAAACAGGUAUGGGACAAGCUCCAAGGUGAAUUUGAGGGCAGUGAAAGAGUAAAAAAUGUUAGACUCCUCACAUUGAAGAGAGAGUUUGAGUUGAUGAAGAUGAAAGACGAUGAAUCUGUCAAAGAUUAUUCUGGCAGGUUAAUGGAUGUUGUAAACCAAAUGCGGCUUCUUGGUGAGGCAUUUACAGAUCAAAAGGUGGUAGAAAAGAUCAUGGUUUCAGUGCCUCAAAAGUUUGAAGCCAAGAUUUCUGCAAUUGAGGAGUCUUGUGACUUGCAAACUCUCACAAUUGUAGAGUUAACCAGCAAGCUUCAUGCACAGGAGCAAAGGGUCUUAAUGAGAGGUGAUGAAGCUACUGAAGGUGCUUUUCAAGCAAAUCACAAGGGAAAGAAUUCUGGAAACUUGCAAGGAAAGAAGUUCUUCAAGAACAGCAGAGGGAAAGCUGAAGGGUCUUCAAGAAAAGGAAAAUUUCCGCCUUGCUCUCAUUGCAAAAGAACCAACCAUGCUGAGAAAGAUUGUUGGCACAAAGGUAAACCUCUCUUUAAUUGUAACUUCUGCAAUAAACUUGGCCACAGUGAGAAGUAUUGCAGAGCCAAGAAAAAACAAUCUCAACAGCAACCAGAACAACAUGCAAGUGUGACUGAAGAAGACAAAAAUGAUGAUGAGCAUUUAUUUAUGGCAUCACAAGCACUCAGUUCUCAUGAACUGAAUACUUGGCUCAUUGACAGUGGCUGCACAAGUCACAUGACCAAACAUCUGUCAAUAUUUACCUCCAUUGAUAGAUUAGUUCAACCAAAGGUCAAGUUGGGAAAUGGUGAAGUUGUGCAAGCCAAAGGAAAAGGGACAAUUGCUAUCAGCACCAAGAAAGGUACAAAAAUUGUCACUAAUGUUCUUUAUAUUCCAGAUUUAGAUCAGAAUCUUCUUAGUGUUGCACAAAUGCUAAGAAAUGGAUAUGCAAUCUCUUUCAAAGAAAAUUUUUGUUUUAUCUCUGAUGUACACGGAACAGAGAUAGCAAAAAUUAAAAUGAAUGGAAAUAGUUUUUAUUUGAAGCUUGAUUUAGUUGAAGGUCAUGUCUUUAGUGCCAAGAUUGAUGAGAGUGUUGUUUGGCACAAAAGAUAUGGUCAUUUCAACUUGAAGUCACUGAGGUUCAUGCAAGAAGCUGGUAUGGUUGAAGACAUGCCUGAAAUCUCAGUUAAUGCUCAAACUUGUGAAAGUUGUGAGCUAGGGAAGCAACAACGACAACCAUUCCCUCAAAAUAUGUCCAAGAGAGCUACUCACAAGCUGGAAUUAAUCCAUUCAGAUAUUUGUGGACCAAUGAGCACAACCUCAUUGAGCAACAAUGUGUAUUUUGCGCUAUUUAUUGAUGAUUUCAGCAGAAUGACUUGGGUUUAUUUUCUAAAAACCAAGUCACAAGUGCUCUCUAUGUUCAAAAGCUUCAAGAAAAUGGUUGAAACUCAAAGUGGCCAGAACGUUAAGGUGCUCAGAACUGAUAAUGGAGGUGAGUAUACCUCAAAAGAGUUUAGUGUCUUUUGUCAAGAAGCUGGAAUUCUACACCAGCUAACAACUCCAUACUCACCACAGCAGAAUGGAGUCUCUGAGAGGAAGAACAGAACCGUGAUGGAGAUGGCAAGGUGCAUGCUAUUCGAGAAGAAGCUACCAAAGCUUCUAUGGGCUGAAGCAGUCAACACCUCAGUGUAUUUGCUUAACAGACUACCAACUAAGUCUGUUCAGAGCAAAACACCAAUAGAGGCAUGGUCUGGUGUAAAACCUUCUGUCAAGCACCUGAAAGUUUUUGGCUCAUUUUGUUAUCUUCAUGUGCCAUCUGUCAAGAGAGGGAAGCUUGAUGAAAGAGCUGAGAAAGGUGUCUUUGUUGGUUAUGCAGCAGAAUCAAAAGGUUACAGAAUUUAUAGCUUGAGUAGAAUGAAAAUCGUGAUAAGUAGAGAUGUGCACUUUGAUGAAAACUCCUAUUGGAAUUGGGACUUGAAGAAAGUUCAUAAAUGUGAUCAAACCACUCCAUCUAUUCUUGAACCAGCAAUAGAAAGUACAAUCAUUGAAGGUCCACUUGAUGUUGAAGCAACUUCAGACACACCAGUGCUUAAGAUGAGGCCAUUAUCUGAUGUGUACGAGAGGUGCAAUCUUGUACAUGCUGAGCCUACAUGUUACACGGAAGCUGCAAGAUUUCUAGAAUGGAUUGAGGCCAUGAAAGUUGAAAUUGAUGCUAUCGAAAGAAAUGGAACCUGGAAGUUGACAGAACUACCUGAAGCUAAGAAUGCAAUUGGUGUAAAGUGGGUUUUCAGAACUAAAUUUAAUUCAGAUGGUUCAAUCUUCAGGCACAAGGCUAGAUUGGUUGUGAAGGGUUUUGCUCAAGUUGCUGGAGUGGACUAUGGUGAUACAUUUGCACCAGUAGCCAGACAUGACACUAUAAGGCUACUACUUGCACUUGCUGGUCAAAGGGGAUGGAAAGUGUACCAUUUAGAUGUCAAGUCAGCUUUUCUAAAUGGUAUACUUCUUGAAGAAAUUUAUGUUCAACAACCAGAAGGCUUUGAGGUUAUUGGCCAUGAACACAAAGUGUACAAGCUACAUAAGGCUCUCUAUGGUUUGAAGCAAGCACCAAGGGCCUGGUAUAGCAGAAUUGAUUCUCAUCUGAUCCAACUUGGAUUUAGGAGGAGUGAAAAUGAAGCUACUUUGUAUUUGAAACAAAAUGAUGAUUUUGUAUUUGAAACAAAAUGAUGAUGGUUUGCAACUGGUAGUAUCACUUUAUGUUGAUGACAUGCUAGUGACCGGAAGCAAUGUAAAAUUGCUAGCUGAUUUCAAAAUGGAAAUGCAGGAUGUAUUUGAGAUGUCUGACCUUGGCAUCAUGAACUACUUCCUUGGAAUGGAAAUAUACCAAUGCAGCUGGGGUAUCUUCAUUUCACAAAGAAAAUAUGCUAUGGAUAUUCUCAAGAAAUUCAAGCUAGAAUCAUGCAAAGAAGUAGCAACUCCGCUGGCACAAAAUGAGAAAAUUUCAAAGAAUGAUGGUGAGAAACUUGAGGAACCCUCUGCAUAUAGAAGCUUGGUGGGCAGCCUACUAUACUUGACAGUAACCAGACCUGACUUGAUGUUUCCAGCUAGUUUGCUUUCAAGGUUCAUGAGUUCACCUAGCAAUGUUCACAUGGGAGUUGCAAAGAGGGUGUUAAAGUAUGUUAAAGGUACAACAAAUCUUGGCAUUUGGUAUUUAAAGUCAGGAGGAGUUAAGCUAAAUGGUUAUGCUGAUAGUGAUUGGGCAGGAAGUGUUGAUGAUAUGAAGAGCACUUCAGGUUAUGCAUUUACAAUCGGUUCAGGUGUCAUAUGCUGGAAUUCAAGAAAGCAAGAAGUAGUGGCACAAUCAACUACAGAAGCUGAGUAUAUCUCCUUAGCAGCUGCUGCAAAUCAAGCAAUAUGGUUGAGAAAAUUGCUUGCUGAUUUAGGCCGGGAACAAAGCUCACCAACUGAGCUUUACUGUGACAAUAAGUCAGCCAUUUCCAUUGCUCAAAAUCCUGUCCAUCAUGGCAGAACCAAGCACAUAAAUGUAAAAUUCCACUCCAUAAGGGAAGCUGAAAAGAAUUCACUUGUUAAGCUGCAUUAUUGCUCAACUGAUGAGCAACUUGCUGACAUAAUGACUAAAGGACUUCUUAAAUCAAGGCUGGAGUUCCUAAGGUUGAAGCUUGGUAUGUCCAAGGCAAAUCUCAAGGAGGAGUGUUAGAAUUCAUGAGAGUUUGCCUUUGAAAAUGUCUUAGUUAGACUUAGUCUCUGUUUUGCUAUCUCUGAUUUUCAGUUUUCUGUUAGUAGAAGUAGUCAUAGCAGCUGAGAGUUUUUAGCAUUUUCAAUUUGGUUGUAAGCCUAUAAAUAGGCAUUCUCUUCGGUGAAAUAUAGUGUGUGUCUUUCUCCAACUCAGUACUCUAAUAUUUUCUGAAAGUUUUAGUUCCUUUCUCCAGAUUUUUAACAAUAUUAAAUGAUCAGUUAUCACAAAAGUUUAAGCUUAUACAGAAUGAGUUAAGAAUAUUUAUCAAGUUAAUGGAAAUGAUAGGAACUAGUUAGUGAAAGAGAGUGACAAAGGAAAUUGACAGCAGAAAGCUAAUCCUUCAAAAGUAAAUGGAAUUAACAAAUUAACAAAUUACACUCAUUUCCACGCUGUUAAAGAAAAUGAAAUCGAUCUCCAUGUGACUUAGUCAAUUGGUUCAUCUCAAAGGUCUAGUUUUUAAACAUGUUGGUAUUAUAUGUAUGGAUAUACCCAAUUCAACUGCCAUUAAAAAAUAAAUAGAUAAAUAAAUAAAUAUACUCCUUCCAAUUGCUAUUAACAAUUAUUGGAAGUGGGUGACUAUCUGUAUGGUUGACCUGGUAAACGGAUUCAUCUCAAGAUGGCCCAAUUAGCUUUUCUAGAGAAGUAUCCAAUUAGCUUUUCUAGAGAAGUCAACACAGACAAUUUUAUUGUUUUAUUUUUAUUUUUUGAUUUUUCUUCUUCUACAACAAUUGGCUGUUCAUGAUUAGUCACAUAUUGGUUGUAACAUCAUCUUGAUAACCUACUUUUCUGCAUGGGAAUCAUUUUUUUUUUUUUUUUGGUUCUUUGACAGAGAUAAUGAGAUUGGUCCAACACUUAUUAAUGGCAACAUCAGUUUUGUUAGCCGUUUUCAUCUAUCUCCUAUGUAGAGGCCUUGUUCCUUAUGCCUAAUCUAUAAGAGCUAUCUUCUGUGUAUCAUAGAUGGAUCAUGGAUUAGAUAAUGCAUAUGCAAAACAUAGAAGAAAGAACACUGCAGGGAUCAUUUCCUAGGAAAAGCCUUUCCUCUCAAAGAAAAACUAAUCAGGAUUCAGUACUACUAGCAUACUUUUGAUCAAGUAGAUUUUAUGAGCUGAGCUGACUAAUAGAUCUUCUAUGCCUAGUCCCUUUGUUUUGUACCAAAAAAGGAAAAAAGGAAGUGAGAAAAUAAGAAAGGAGAAAUCAGAAUGAGAAUUUAGAAGUGCAUGAUUUAAAAUGCUUAAAAGUAUUCUUAGAUUAUGUGGAAGGAAUAGGGUCUAUGCAAACAAGUUAUAAUCAUCCCAAUUACUAUAAGAUAUAAAUUAGAAAGCUCUCAAGGUUUUGGUUUAGUCAUAACUUCUUGUUCAUAUCCAGAAGAUUCUCCAUGUAUUGUUCAAAAUAUUGUUUUGACUUAUCAACAAGAGGCAGAGUACUCUUCUUCCAAAACUGGAAUACAUUUGACUGGUCCUGUGUGCUAAGCAUGAUAAAACGAAACAGUCGACAACCCUAGAUUUUCUUAUUAUGUAAUUAAAUAGUCAGCAUUUCCAAAUCCCUCGUGUUUUCGGUAUAAAUACUCAACCUUGACUAAAAUUCUUCAUUCUCAUCCCACUCUAGCUUUUGUUUUCUUUAGCUUGUUAUAUAUUCAUCCUCUGAAGUUAGCAUGGCAAAGAUUUAUUCCUCUAAGGCCUCCAAAGUAAUGCUGACAGCUAUAUUUGUAGCAAUUCUAUUGCUUAUGUUCUCUAUGGCCACUACUGCAAUUCUACAGGACACAACAAUAGGAGUUCAGUAGGGUGAGUAGAAAAUUAUCAUAUGGAGUGUUCUAUUUUUAUUUCUCAAUGCCAAGAUACUUUUGCUUUUUGCUAUCAACUUUGCAUGCCUUUUGCCUUCUUCAUUUCUGUGAUUGUGUGUGAACUAUGUUCAGUUUCUAUGAGUUGGGGGUUUUAUUGAAUUCCAGCCAUGGAAUUGGUAACUGAGAAAUCUUCAAACAGAAGGGUCUACUCAUCUGUGUUCCUGACCGCCUAUCAUUUUUGUGUUGCAGGACGGAAGGCUCUAGGUUUAUCUGUUCAUGUUGAUUAUGAAGACCAGUAUGAUGCAGGAAGGGGAGGAUACGGCUCAACAAGUCCAUAAUCGUGGGAUUGAGUUCCCAAGAGCUGUUUUCGGGAAGGUUGCCAAAUAAAUCUAAGAAUUUCU
rnacentral:lncRNA from 1 species